rnacentral:lncRNA from 10 species
AAUCUUGGCUCACUGCUGCCCCAACCUCCCAGGCUCAAGCGAUCCUUCCACCUCAGCCUCCUGAGCAGCUUGGACUAAAUGCAUGUGCCACCAUGCCUUGCUAAUUUUUAAAUUUUCUGUAGAGACAGGGUCCCCCUAUGUUGCCUAGGUUGGUUUGGAACUCCUAGCCUCAAGCGAUCCUCCCACCUCAGCCUCCCAAAGUGAUUUUUUUAAUAGCCCAAGGGUGCUUCUAAACCUUACAAGUGCUUUGAAAUAGCAGUGUCAAAUAAAAAUAUAAUUCAUGCGUGAGCCACUGCAUCCAGCCACUAAAUUUUCUAAUAGCCACAUAGAAGAAGAAAUAGGGCCAGGCACAGUGGCACAUGCCUGUAAUCCACGCUUUGUGGCACUGAGACAGGAGGAUUGUUUGAAGCUAGGAGUUUGAGGCCAGCCUGGGCAACAUAGUGAGACCUGGUCUUUACAAAAAAUUAGCUAGGCAUGGUGGUGCAUGCCUGUAGUCCCAGCUACUCAGGAGGCUGAGGCUGGAGGAUGGCUUGAGCCCAGGAGAUCAAGGCUGCAGUGAGCUAUGAAUGGGCCGUCACACUCCAGGUUUGGUGACAGAGGAAGACCUUGUCUCAAAAAAAGAAGAAGAAGAAAAAACAAGUGAAACUAAUUUUAAUUACUUGUAUUUAUUUAUUUUUUUGUGUGCAACAGGGUCUCACUUUGUCUCGCAGGCUGGAAUAUAGUGGCGUGAUCACAAGGCUUACCGUAGCCCUUGACCUCCCAGGCUCAAGUGAUUCUCCCACUGCAGCCUCCCGAGUAGCUGGGACUAUGGGUGCACACUACCAUGCCUGGCUAAUUUUUCUAUUUGUUUUAGAGACGGAUUUCACCAUGAUACCAGGCUGGUCUGAAACUCCUGGGCUCAAAGGAUCAGCCCGCCUUGGCUCCCAAAGAGCUGGGAUUACAGGCGUGAGCCACUGCACCCAGCCUAAUAAUAUAUUUUACUUAACCCCAUGCAUCCAAAACAUCAAUAUGAACAUAUCAGUGAAGUAUUUUAUAUUCUUUGUUUUCAUACUAAGUCUUCAAAACCUAGCUUGAAUUUGAAACAACAGCACAUCUUAAUUUGGACACUAAAUUUUCAUCAAAAAUAUUUCAUUGAUUUAGAUUUCAUAAAUUUACAGUUGAAAAAGUAGAUGUACAUAUCCAAAUUGUCCCAAACAUGCUUAAAAUUUUUCCAGUAUGUAUGUUGUUUUAAAAUAUUUAUAUUUUUGUUGUUGUUGUUGUUGUUUUUUAAGAUGGAUUUUUGCUCUUGUCACCCAGGCUGGAGUGCAACGGCGCGAUCUUGGCUCACUGCAACCUCCACCUCCCAGGUUCAGGCGAUUCCCCUACCUCAGCCUCCCGAGUAGCUGGGAUUACAGGUGCGCGCCACCACGCCCGGCUGAUUUUUGUAUUUUUAGUAGAGAUGGGGUUUCACCAUGUUGGUCAGGCUGGUCUCGAACUCCUGACCACAGGUGAUCCACCUGCCUUGGCCUCCCAAAGUGCUGGGAUUACAGGUGUGAGCCACUGUGCCCGGCUGGGAGCAAGACUGGAGCAAGACUCCAUCUCAAAAAAAAAAUAAAAUAAAUAAGUGAAUUAAUUAAUUAAAGGCCAGGCAUGGUGGUUCACACUUGUCAACAUUUUGGGAGGCUGAGGUGGGAGGAUUGCUUGAGUCCAGGAGUUCCAGACCAGCCAGGGCAACAUAGUGAGACCCUGUCUGUAUUACAAUAAUAAAAUCAAAUAAAGUUUUUAAUUUUUUUUUUGAGACAGAGUCUCACUCUGUCACUCAGGUCAGAGUGCAGUGGCACUAUCUUGGCUCACUGCAACCUCCACCUCACUGAUUCAAGUGAUUCUCAUGCCUCAGUCUCCCCAGGUAGCUGGAAUUCCAGGCAAGCGCCACCAUGCCUAGCUACUUUUUGUACUUUUAGUAGAGACCAGGUUUCGCCAUGUUGGCCAGGCUGGUCUUGAACUCCUGACCUCAACUGAUCCACCCACCUUGGCCUCCCAAAGUGCUGGAUUACAGGUGUGAGCCACCAUGCCCGGCCAAAAUAACAUUUUUAAAAACUAAAUUAAAUUUAUAUAACACUGACCGGGCAUCAUGGCUCAUGCCUGCAAUCCCAGCACUUUGGGAGGCUGAGGUGGGUGGAUCACCUGAGGUCGGGAGUUUGAGACCAGCCUCACCAACAUGGAGAAACCGUGUCUCUACUAAAAAUACAAAAUUAUCUGGGCGUGGUGGCGCAUGCCUGUAAUACCAGCUACUCGGGAGGCUGAGGCAGGAGAAUCACUUGAACCCGGGAGGCAGAGGUUGUGGUGAGCCAAGAUUGCACCAUUGCACUCCAGCCUGGGCAACAAGAGCAAAACUCCAUCUCAAAAAAAAAAAAAAAAAUUUGGUUCCUCAGUCACACUCCAAGGCUCAAUAUAGCAUACAGGCUGGGGGUUACCCUAUUGGACAGAACAUCUUUAAACCUCCCAGGCCUAGUACCCUUGCCUUCCCCUAGACUAUUACAAGAGGGAAAUUGAGUCAGCUGAUAGUGGUCCCCCCAACACAGACACAGUCUAUCUGAGAGAACGCCAAAUGACCUUGCUUUCCUCCUACCCCCAGCAAACAGCAUUCACCAAAUAGUAGGCAGCUUCCUAGGGAUCUCUCUCCAUUCUCCAUUCCCUUCCUGCUCCAGAGAGGACCCUGAAGAACCCAGCCUAUCCCAUGCACCUGUUCUUUCUGCUGCAGCUCCUGCUGCUGCUGGGCCAUCAGCCAUCUCCUUCGGUCCAAAGCCAUCUGCCGGCGCCGGGCCUCCCAGUGGUAGGCACUACCCAUGAUAGUGGGAUGGUAUGAGGCCCCAGGUGGGGGUGGGGACAGGCAGAGCCCACUGCUCCCACCACCUCUGUCUCUUCCCACUCAGACCCCUCUGCCUAUAACUGGAACCACCUCACAAUGUGGUUACUGCCAGGGCAACUGGGCAGGCCCCGCCUGCUUUGUUGAGAGAGGGAGGCAUUUUUCCCAAGGCUCCCAGGGAACAUCUGCAAAGUACCUUUCUCUCCUGGGUCCUGAUCAGAUAGAAGACCUUCCCACCUUAGCUUUGAGUCUCAAUGGGCCCCAUGGACAAUUCAGCAGUAAAGUCUUUUCUCUCUGGCUUCUUUCCCCCAUUCUUCCUCAGAGGGUUCCAGCAUCAUCAUCUGACCCUUCCUCUGCUCAUCUCUCCCCACUUAGGUCUCCGGAAUUACCUUUUUCUCCUUAAUCUCUCCUCUCUCCAUCUCCCCCAUAAAUGUCUGUGCUGAGUCAGAAUGAAAGAAAAUACAAAAUCCUACUAAGCCUCACUGAGGUCUGAGCCCCCAGAACGCAAAGGGGCUUCUUAGAAAACACCCUAGCUCUGGAGAUUUCUAAUUCUGGACUCAAGCCUAGCGUCUACCUCUUAAUUUUAUUUUCAUUUUAUUUUUUAUUUUUUGAGAUGGAGUUUCACUCUUGUUGCCCAGGCUGGAGUGCAAUGGCGCAAUCUCGGCUCACUGCAACCUCCGCCUCCCAGGUUCAAGAGAUUCUCCUACCUCAGCCUCCCAAGUAGCUAGGAUUACAGGCAUGCACCACCAUGCCCGGAUAAUUUUUGUAUUUUUAGUAGAGACAGGGUUUCUCCACGUUGGUCAGGCUGAUCUCAAACUCCAGACCUCAGGUGAUCCGCCCGCCUCAGCCUCCCAAAGUGCUGGGAUUACAGGUGUGAGCCACCACGCCCAGCCUGGGACUGUGCAUUUAAGAUCACCCCAAGUGGCUGGGCACAGUGGCCUCUGCCUCCUGGGUUCAAGCAAACAAAAAGAAAGAGCCUAGGCAACCUAGUGAAACCCUGUUCGGGCUGCGGCCUAUCUGUACCCCAGCUAUUCCAGAGGCUGAGGCAGGAGGGUGGAUGGAUGCUGGGAGGUGGAUGCUGCAGUGAGCAGUGAUUGCACCACUGCACUCCAGCCUGGGUGACAGAGCCAGACCCCGUCCCAAAUAAAUAAAAAUAAAGGAACCAGUUUGUAGAAAGCAGGAGAGGGUCCCAUUGAACUUCAAGCCUUCAAGCUACAGCUGUGGCUGGACAGGUUGGACCAGCAGGCUGGAGCAGUCGCCAUCUUGGCAGGGAUCAUUGACCCUGAUCUAUCAUCGGGAGGAAGAAGAGCUGAUCUUAUGCAGGGAGGGCAGGUGGACUAUGUGUGGACUCUGGUGAUCUGUUUGGGUGCCAGGUGUUACUCCCAGGGCCACCCAUAACUGUGAAUGUGCAGGAACCCUGACUUAGGUUCCUGGGGAAUGAGAGUUUGGUUCCCGGUACCCAGGGAAACCACCAGCAUCGGCAGAGGUGAUAGCUGGGGAGGAGCGGGGAUUUGGACGAGAGACACAGGAUGAGUACCGGGGGCAGCCCUGUGAUCAACAACUGCUGCAAGAGGGGCCGUUUGUUCGACUCACUAGUCUUCUGUGGCUCUAUGCGGUACUAAAGAGCAGAAGACAGAAGAUACAAAAACCACAAAAAUUAGCCGGGCGUGGUGCUGCGCGUCAAUAAUCCCAGCUACUCGGGAGGCUGAGAUGGGAGAAUCGCUUGAAUCCGGGAGGUGGAAGUUUCAGCGAGCUGAGAUCACGCCAUUGCAGUCCAACCUGAGCGUCCGAGCGAGACUAUCUCAGAAAGUAAAGACAGAAUUAAAGUGCCCAGCGCAGUGGCUCACGCCUGUAAUCCCAGCGCUUUGGGAGGCCGAGGCGGGCAGAUCACCUGAAGUCAGGAGUUCGAGACCAGCCUGGCCAACUUGGCGAGACCUCCUUAAAAAUACAAAAAUUAGCUGGGCGUGGUGGCAAACACCUGUAAUCCCAGCUACCCAAGGAGGCUGAGGCAGGAGAAUCACUGGAACCCGGGAGGCAGAGGCUGCAGUGAGCCGAGAUCGCGCCACUGCACUCCAGCCUGGGUGACAGAGCAAGACUUUGUCUCUGAAAAAAAAAAAAAAAAAAAAGCAUGGGCGCGGUGGCUCAUGCCUGUAAUCCCAGCACUUUGGGAGGCUGAGGCGGGCAGAUCAUGAGGUCAGGAGAUCGAGACCAUCCUGGCUAACACGGUGAAUCCCCGUCUCUACUAAAAGUACAAAAAAAUUAGCCAGACGUAGUGGCAGGUGCCUGUCGUCCCCGCUACUUGGGAGGCUGAGGCAGAAGAAUGGCGCGAACCCAGGAGGUGGAGCUUGCAGUGAGCCGAGAUGCGCCACUGCACUCCAGCCUCAGCGACAGAGUGAGACUCCGUCUCAAAAAAAAAAAAAAAAAAGCUUGGGCCAGUGGCUCACACCUGUAAUCCCAGCACUUUGGGAGGCGGCAGGCAGGCGGAUCACCAGAGGCUGGGAGUUGGAGACCAGCCUGACCAACAUGGAGAAACCCCAAUCUGUACUAAAAAGCCUCUGAGGAAGAGUGGGGGAAAGAUGCCACAGAGAAAAGACUUUACUGCUGAAUUGUCCAUGGGGCCCACUGAGACUCAAAGCUAAGGUGGGAAGGUCUUCUAUCUGAUCAGGACCCAGGAGAGAAAGAUACUUUGCAGAUGUUUCCUGGGAGCCUUGGGAAAAAUGCCUCCCUCCCUCAACAAAGCAGGCGGGGCCUGCCCAGUUGCCCUGGCAGUAACCACAUUGUGAGGUGGUUCCAGUUAUAGGCAGAGGGGUCUGAGUGGGAAGAGACAGAGGUGGUGGGAGCAGUGGGCUCAGCCUUUACUUCGCCGCCCGAGGGCGGGGAGACCGGCCCCGUACCCGAGGGGACGAGGGGCCCAUGCCCAGUCAGGGAAGCCGAAGGCCUGGAGGGGCUUCCGGGAGCAGGGGCUGGAGUUCCUCUGCCAGGCAGGAGGCUGGCACCAGACACCCGGCAGAGGGAGGCGGCGAGGGCCCAGCAAGGAUUCUCCCCAGCCCCUGUGCCUGCGUCUCCUGCGGCUUCUGUGCGCGGACCGUGUCCUGUGCUGUGUAGGGAAUGCUGCCUCUCUGCUCGGGACGUGGAUUCCUUUCCCCUCCUCCUCGCCUGGCUACUUCUGACGCAGGUCGUCAGGACUCCGCUUGGGUGUCACCCGUGCAGGAAGCCUCCCUUAGUCAAGGGCCCUCGGCACCCGCCCCAUAUGUGACUAGCAGCCCUCCUGUGUAUUUCAUCGCGUCCCCGUUGUUUAUAUCAGCUAUUCCACUCACCACCCUUCUGGGCAACCCUUUAUCUCCCGCUCUGAAAUCCCAUCGCUGAGGGCUGGGACCCCUCCUCAGUGCUUAUCCCUGUUUCCCCGCGCGAGUCUGGCGCCUGGCGUGUGGAAGGCGCUCAGUAAACGUUUGUGGAGCGAAGAAACGACGCAAAGGUGAUGAGCACGACGCAGUUAGGAGGCUAUUGGCCCGGCGCGGGGGAAAAGGGGGAAGGUCGGGCUCGGGGUGGCAGGACCCCAGAGGGCAGGGGUGACUGCCGGGGUGCUCUUGGGGCAAGGUGGGCGUCAAGGCCCCCAGCAAGGUUGGGAUAAAGUUUCUCUCCGAGGCACAGACUGCCGCCUGCGGGCUCAGCAUUUACCUCUCCCUUCCUCCUUCCUAACGCAACUUCAGCGGAGGGCUGAGGGCUCUACUGCGCAUUACCUGGAAAACUUAUUUCACUCCACGGCCCUAAGAGGUGGGCCUUAUUAUUAGCCACGGCCAGGGUUAGGGUGAGGCCACUCCUCCAGGGCAGAAUUUCAGGGGGUGCCCACCCCCCCGCCCUAAAUCAUUCAGCAAUCAACAUAAAUUAUAGUUCAACGCAAUAUAUCUUAUCUUGUGGGCCGCAAGCCACCCAGGUGCCCAGGCAAGAGCCUGAAGGCACAAGCUGUUCCAGUACAGCAAAGAAAAUAAUUAGAAUAAGAAAAGUUUUACUAGAGAUAGGAAACGGAUAGGAUUAUAUCUGACUAUUAUUAAUCAUUAGUUUGUAGCAUCACUCUUUGUUCUAUUACCAUAAUGAUCUCUGUUCUAUUAUGAUUACCUUGGGGGAAACCAGGCCACACAGAGUUAGGAGCUGAAGGGCCACAGUGAGAGGUGACCAGAAGACAAGAGUGUGAGCCCUCAUUCACGCCCAGAGAAGGGCCGCUGGAGGGCUCCUUGGCCUAGCGGUAAUGCCAGUGCCUGGGAAGGCCCUGGUUACUUAGCAGGCCUUGGUCUAGCGGUGGCCCCAGUGCCUGGGAAGGCACCCGUUACUUAGCAGAAUUACUACGCAGCCAUAAAAAAGGAUGAGUUCAUGACCUCUGCGGGAACGUGGAGGGAGGAAAAGGCCUCAUUCUCAGCAAACUGACACAGGAAGCGAAAACAAACACCGCAUGUUCUCGCUCCUAAGUGGGAGUUGAACAGCGAGAACACAUGGGACACAGGGAGGGGAACAUCACACGCCGGGCCCUGACGGGGCGUGGGGGGCAAGGGGAGAGAGAGCAUUAGGACAAAUAGCCAACGCAUGCGGGGCUUCAAACCUAGACGACUGGUGGAUAGGUGCAGCAAAGCACCGUGGCACACGUGUACCUAUGUUCCAAACCUGCACGUCCUGCACAUGUACCCCAGAACUUGGGAGGGGGUGGGGGAAACCAAAAGAGCGAGGGAGAGGCGGGGGGGGGGAAGAGAGAGAGAGAGGGAAAGAGAGAGAGAGACAGAGAGAGGAGAGAGAGAGAGAGAGAGAGACAGAGAGAGAGAGAGAGAGACAGAGAGAGAGACAGAGAGACGGAGAGACAGAGAGAGAGAGAGAGAAAGAGAGAGAGAGAGAGAGAGAGAGAGAGAGAGAGACAGGAGAAAGAAGAACUCCGGGUGGGUCCCAUUCCUUUAAAAGGUCGCCACCCACUCGACUGCCAAGCUGAGAUCCUAAGGACCUCCCCAAAGGAGGAGGUCGUGGCCUUCCCAAAGCGCAGUAGCCACGGUGGAAACGACAGCGUGCCGCAUAAGCCUACCGUCUACCGCCCGCACAUCAGGAACCUCAAGGUACUUCAGGGAAGCAGUUAAGUUAAGCCGGCGCGUCACAGGCACUCGGCGUGCAAGCCGCCCCGCAGGUGCUACCGUCUCUUACCUCCCUCUACUUUUAGGAAACACGUUGUAUCCCCGGAGGGGGUGCACCGUUCCUGGAGGUACUGCAAUACCAGGUCGAUGCGUGGAGUGGACGGAGCAAGCUCCUAUUCCAUCUCCCUGCUCCAAAAAUCCAUUUAAUAUAUUGUCCUCGGAUAGAGGACGUAUCAGAUAUUAAACUGAUAAGAACAGAUACUACACUUGAUCUUAGCCAAAAGGCCGAGAAGCGAUGCGCUCGCCUUCGCGCCCGCCGUCACCGUCCCACUCUCAUCCACAUUCAAGUCGCGGUGAGAGCCCCAGCCUCGCUCCUUGCCCCAUUCCCUCUGUCUCGUCCACAGCGCUAUUGACGCCCUUACACUCUCGGGCUGAUUUCUUAUUCUCUGCCUUUGAAAAGGGAAAUCUUACACCCGUGCUUCUUCCGGCGUUCCCGGGCUUUCAUUUCGAAUUUGCAUGCCCCGCCCUUUCACAGAGGGCGUGGCCUCCGCCGUUGACUCCGCCCCCGGGGCCGCCUCUGCCUGGGGGAGCCGGGGCUCCGCUGGGGGCGACUUCCUUGUUCGUAUCGAGCCAGCGAAAAGACAGAACCGGAAGAGACCGGGGGCGAAGGCGACAGGGGUCUGUGGAAGAGACCUGUCGGCGGAGAGCGGUCCACGUUUUCCUGGAGAAAGACGAGGCUCCAGGGCAGGAGCGCGGGCUGCGCUGGGCCUUUACUUCGCCGCCCGCGGGCGGGGAGACCGGCCCCGUACCCGAGGGGACGAGGGGACGAGGGGCCCAUGCCCAGUCAGGGAAGCCGAAGGCCUGGAGGGGCUUCCGGGAGCAGGGGCUGGAGUUCCUCUGCCAGGCAGGAGGCUGGCACCAGACACCCGGCAGAGGGAGGCGGCGAGGGCCCAGCAAGGAUUCUCCCCAGCCCCUGUGCCUGCGUCUCCUGCGGCUUCUGUGCGCGGACCGUGUCCUGUGCUGUGUAGGGAACGCUGCCUCUCUGCUCGGGACGUGGAUUCCUUUCCCCUCCUCCUCGCCCGGCUACUUCUGACGCAGGUCGUCAGGACUCCGCUUGGGUGUCACCCGUGCAGGAAGCCUCCCUUAGUCAAGGGCCCUCGGCACCCGCCCCAUAUGUGACUAGCAGCCCUCCUGUGUAUUUCAUCGCGCCCCCGUUGUUUAUAUCAGCCAUUCCACUCACCACCCUUCUGGGCAACCCUUUAUCUCCCGCUCUGAAAUCCCAUCGCUGAGGGCUGGGACCCCUCCUCAGUGCUUAUCCCUGUUUCCCCGCGCGAGUCUGGCGCCUGGCGUGUGGAAGGCGCUCAGUAAACGUUUGUGGAGCGAAGAAACGACGCAAAGGUGAUGAGCACGACGCAGUUAGGAGGCUAUUGGCCCGGCGCGGGGGAAAAGGGGGAAGGUCGGGCUCGGGGUGGCAGGACCCCAGAGGGCAGGGGUGGCUGCCGGGGUGCUCUUGGGGCAAGGUGGGCGUCAAGGCCCCCAGCAAGGUUGGGAUAAAGUUUCUCUCCGAGGCACAGACUGCCGCCUGCGGGCUCAGCAUUUACCUCUCCCUUCCUCCUUCCUAACGCAACUUCAGCGGAGGGCUGAGGGCUCUACUGCGCAUUACCUGGAAAACUUAUUUCACUCCACGGCCCUAAGAGGUGGGCCUUAUUAUUAGCCACGGCCAGGGUUAGGGUGAGGCCACUCCUCCAGGGCAGAAUUUCAGGGGGUGCCACCCCCCCGCCCUAAAUCAUUCAGCAAUCAACAUAAAUUAUAGUUCAACGCAAUGUAUCUUAUCUUGUGGGCCGCAAGCCACCCAGGUGCCCAGGCAAGAGCCUGAAGGCACAAGCUGUUCCAGUACAGCGAAGAAAAUAAUUAGAAUAAGAAAAGUUUUACUAGAGAUAGGAAACGGAUAGGAUUAUAUCUGACUAUUAUUAAUCAUUAGUUUGUAGCAUCACUCUUUGUUCUAUUACCAUAAUGAUCUCUGUUCUAUUAUGAUUACCUUGGGGGAAACCAGGCCACACAGAGUUAGGAGCUGAAGGGCCACAGUGAGAGGUGACCAGAAGACGAGAGUGUGAGCCCUCAUUCACGCCCAGAGAAGGGCCGCUGGAGGGCUCCUUGGCCUAGCGGUAAUGCCAGUGCCUGGGAAGGCCCUGGUUACUUAGCAGGCCUUGGUCUAGCGGUGGCCCCAGUGCCUGGGAAGGCACCCGUUACUUAGCAGACCCGGAAAGGGAAUCUCCCUCUCUCCAGGGGAGACAGAGAACGCUCCGCUCCACCACCUCUUGUGGGAGGUCUGACAUUAGCCAGGCCGGCCCGCAGUCAUCCGGAGGCUCCAACGUCUGUCUCCCUGUGAUGCUGUGCUUCAGUGGUCACGCUCCUUGUUCACUUUCAUGUUCAGCCUGUACACCUGGCUCCUCCUUUUAAGUUCUUAGAAGACAGCAGUAGCAGAACUAGUAGGAGUACCACAGUCUUCGAUCUUUCUGAUAAGUGCAUAGAAGAAACGCUGACGUUUGCUGUCCUCCCUCUCCACCUCGGCUACCACAAAGGGAAAGGCCCCCUGUCCAGUGGACACGUGACUCGCGUGACCUAUCGAUCAUUGGAGAUGACUGGCACUCCUUACCCUGCCCCCUUGCCUUGACUACAAUAAAUAGCAGCGCCUCCAGGCACUCGGGGCCACUACCUGUCUGUCUCCGCGCUUUGGUGGCAGUGGUCCCCCGGGCCCAGCUGUCUUUCUUCCUAUCUCUUUGUCUUCUGUCUUUAUCUCUUCGAUCUCUCGUCUCCGCACACACGCGAAGAGAAAACCCACAGACCCGGUAGGGGUGGACCCUACAUUAUCUCAGCUACAACAUAAUCAGGAUAUUCACGUGGACUACUGAGUCUUUCGGUGCCCCCUUGCUGUUUUAGUUUUGUCCUGCGGCCGAGUGUUUCCCUCGCUUCACGCCAACACAAUCUCCGCCGCCCUGUCUUGUCAUCCCCAUUCUACAGCCCAGCACGGUGUAGUAUGGCAGCCGCUAGCCACAGGUAUCUAGGGAGCCCUGGAAAUGUGGUCAGUUCUAAUGGAGCUGUGCUGUAAGUGUGAAAUACACGUGGGAUUUUGACGGCAGUGGGAGCAAAAUUCUCCCAAUUUUUUUUUUUUUUUUUUUUUUUUCAGACGGAGGUUCCGCUCUUGUUACCCAGCCUGGAGUCCAAUGGCGCGAUCUAGGCUCUCUGCAACCUCCGCCCCCCGGGUUCAAGCAAUUCCCCUGCCUCAUCCUCCCAAGCAUUGGGACUACAGGUAUGUGCCACCACGCUCGGCUAAGUUUGUAUUUUUAAAAGUAUGGGGGGGGGCCACGUUGGCUUGCUGUUCUCCAACUCCCGACCUCCGGUGAUCUGCCCAGCUGCCGCCUCCCCAAAGUGUUGCUUGCGAUUACAGGCUUGAGCCACCGCUCACCCUGGCUUUUUUUUUUUUUUUUUCCAGACAAACUCUCGCUCUGUCGCCCAGGCUGGAGUGCAGUGGCGCGAUCUCGGCUCACUGCAGCCUCUACCUCCCGGGUUCCAGCGAUUCUCCUGCCUCAGCCUCCUGGGUAGCUGGGAUUACAGGCGCAGGCCACCACGCCCGGCUAAUUUUUGUAUUUUUAGGGGGUUUCGCCAUGUCGGCCAGGCUGGUCUCGAGCUCCUGACCUCAGGCGAUCCGCCCGCCUCGGCCUCCCAAAGCGCUGGGAUUACAGGCGUAAGCCACCGCGCCGGGCUCUUUCAUUCUGUCUUUAUUUUCUGAGAUAGAGUCUCGCUCGGACGCUCAGGUUGGACUGCAACGGCGUGAUCUCGGCUCGCUGAAACUUCCGCCUCCCGGGUUCAAGCGAUUCUCCUGUCUCAGCCUCCCGAGUAGCUGGGAUUAUUGACGGGCAGCACCACGCCCGGCUACUUUUUGUGGUUUUUGUAUCUUCUGUCUUCUGCUCUUUAGUACCGCAUAGAGCCGCAGAAGACUAGCGAGUCGAACAAACGGCCCCUCUUGCAGCAGUUGUUGAUCACGGGGCUGCCCCCCGGGUACUCAUCCUGUGUCUCUCGUCCAAAUCCCCGCUCCUCCUCAGCUAUCACCUCUGCCGAUGCUGGUGGUUUCCUGGGUACGGGAACAAACUCUCAUUCCCCAGGGGCCUAAGCCUCGUGGCCAGGCCUUCUCAAGUCAGGGUUCUGCACAUUCACAGUUACGGGUGGCCUGGGAGUAACACCUGGCACCAAACAGGUCACCAGAGUCACACAUAGUCACCUGCCCUCCUGCGUAAGAUCAGCUCUUCCUCCUCCCGACGAUAGAUCAGGGUCAAUGAUCCCUGCCAAGAUGGCGACUGCUCCAGCCUGCUGUCCAACCUGUCCAGCCACAGCUGUUGCUCGAAGGCUUGAAGUUCAAUGGGACCCUCUCCCGCUUUCUACAAACUGGUUCCUUUAUUUUUAUGUUUAUUUAUUUGGGACGGGGUCUGGCUCUGUCACCCAGGCUGGAGUGCAGUGGUGCAAUCACUGCUCACUGCAGCAUCCACCUCCCAGCGUCCACCCAUCCUCCUGGCCUCAGCCUCCGGAACAGCUGGGGUACAGGUACGCCCCAGCCCGAACAGGUUUUCACUAGGUUGCCUGGGCUCUUUCUUUCUUUGUCUGUGUUUGUUUGUUGGUUGGUUGGUUGGUUGGUUGGUUUUUGUUUGUUUGUUUCGAGACGGGGCUCCGGCUCUGCCGCCGGGGGCUGCAGUGCAAUGGCGCGAUCUCACCUCACUGCGGCCUUCUGGGCUCAAGCGAUCCUCCCACUGUGCCCGGCCUGAAGACAGCCUUUAGAGAAAGAAGCAGGGGGAGUUCUUCCGAGGACAGACAAGAUUUCUGGAGUUUGGAAAGGGUGAGAGACUGGGUCAGCGAAAGGAACAUUCCGGUCUUUAUGUUGGGAUGCAACGUAUAGAUACAGGGAUGAGACCCAAAAGAGCCGGCAGAGGUUUGUCAUCGUGCUCGCAAGGCAACUGCGUAUGGCUGAUCCCGUAAAGGAUACACAUACCUAGAGCGGCACGUAAAGAUGCAUCCAGCAUGACGGGUGGAGCACGAUGCUUGGACUCGAGCUCUGCUCCUGUGCGUUCCGUGAUCAAUGGCUUAUACUACCUGCACCUCAGUUUUUCCCGGGCAAAAAAGGAAGCUUGCUGCCGGUGCGUUGGCACCUGCCUUAAAGUGCCAGCUACUCAGCGGGCUGAAGAGGAAGAAGUUCCUACUAGGAAGACACGUGGACACGUAUGUUUACUGCAGCACUAUUUACAAUAGCAAAGACUUGGAACCAACUCGAAUGCCCAUGAAUGAUAGGCUGGAUAAAGAAAGUGUGGCACGUAUACAGCAUGGAAUUACUACGCAGCCAUAAAAAAGGAUGAGUUCAUGACCUCUGCGGGAACGUGGAUGAAGCUGGAAGGCCUCAUUCUCAGCAAACUGACACAGGAAGCGAAAACCAAACACCGCAUGUUCUCGCUCCUAAGUGGGAGUUGAACAGCGAGAACACAUGGGACACAGGGAGGGGAACAUCACACGCCGGGCCCUGACGGGGCGUGGGGGGCAAGGGGAGAGAGAGCAUUAGGACAAAUAGCCAACGCAUGCGGGGCUUCAAACCUAGACGACUGGUGGAUAGGUGCAGCAAAGCACCGUGGCACACGUGUACCUAUGUUCCAAACCUGCACGUCCUGCACAUGUACCCCAGAACUUGGGAGGGGGUGGGGGAAACCAAAAGAGCGAGGGAGAGGCGGGGGGGGGGAAAGAGAGGGAGAGAGGGAAAGAGAGAGAGAGACAGGAGAGAGGAGAGAGAGAGAGAGAGAGAGAGAGAGAGACAGAGAGAGAGACAGAGAGACAGAGACAGACACAGAGAGACGGAGAGACAGAGAGAGAGAGAGAGAGAGAGAGAGAGACAGGAGAAAGAAGAACUCCGGGUGGGUCCCAUUCCUUUAAAAGGUCGCCACCCACUCGACUGCCAAGCUGAGAUCCUAAGGACCUCCCCAAAGGAGGAGGUCGUGGCCUUCCCAAAGCGCAGUAGCCACGGUGGAAACGAAAGCGUGCCGCAUAAGCCUACCGUCUACCGCCCGCACAUCAGGAACCUCAAGGUACUUCAGGGAAGCAGUUAAGUCAAGCCGGCGCGUCACAGGCACUCGGCGUGCAAGCCGCCCCGCAGGUGCUACCGUCUCUUACCUCCCUCUACUUUUAGGAAACACGUUGUAUCCCCGGAGGGGGUGCACCGUUCCUGGAGGUACUGCAAUACCAGGUCGAUGCGUGGAGUGGACGGAGCAAGCUCCUAUUCCAUCUCCCUGCUCCAAAAAUCCAUUUAAUAUAUUGUCCUCGGAUAGAGGACGUAUCAGAUAUUAAACUGAUAAGAACAGAUACUACACUUGAUCUUAGCCAAAAGGCCGAGAAGCGAUGCGCUCGCCUUCGCGCCCGCCGUCACCGUCCCACUCUCAUCCACAUUCAAGUCGCGGUGAGAGCCCCAGCCUCGCUCCUUUGCCCCAUUCCCUCUGUCUCGUCCACAGCGCUAUUGACGCCCUUACACUCUCGGGCUGAUUUCCUUAUUCUUCCGCCUUUUGAAAAGGGAAAUCUUACACCCGCGCUUCUUCCGGCGUUCCCGGGCUUUCAUUUCCAAUUUGCAUGCCCCGCCCUUUCACAGAGGGCGCUCUGCGGGACGUGGAUGAUGCUGGAAGGCCUCAUUCUCAGCAAACUGAAAGGAAGCGAAAACCAAACACCGCAUGUUCUCGCUCCUAAGUGGGAGUUGAACAGCGAGAACACAUGGGACACAGGGAGGGGAACAUCACACGCCGGGCCCUGACGGGGCGUGGGGGGCAAGGGGAGAGAGAGCAUUAGGACAAAUAGCCAACGCAUGCGGGGCUUCAAACCUAGACGACUGGUGGAUAGGUGCAGCAAAGCACCGUGGCACACGUGUACCUAUGUUCCAAACCUGCACGUCCUGCACAUGUACCCCAGAACUUGGGAGGGGGUGGGGGAAACCAAAAGAGCGAGGGAGAGGCGGGGGGGGGGAAGAGAGAGAGAGAGGGAAAGAGAGAGAGAGACAGAGAGAGGAGAGAGAGAGAGAGAGACAGAGAGAGAGACAGAGAGACAGAGACAGACACAGAGAGACGGAGAGACAGAGAGAGAGAGAGAGAGAAAGAGAGAGAGAGAGAGACAGGAGAAAGAAGAACUCCGGGUGGGUCCCAUUCCUUUAAAAGGUCGCCACCCACUCGACUGCCAAGCUGAGAUCCUAAGGACCUCCCCAAAGGAGGAGGUCGUGGCCUUCCCAAAGCGCAGUAGCCACGGUGGAAACGAAAGCGUGCCGCAUAAGCCUACCGUCUACCGCCCGCACAUCAGGAACCUCAAGGUACUUCAGGGAAGCAGUUAAGUCAAGCCGGCGCGUCACAGGCACUCGGCGUGCAAGCCGCCCCGCAGGUGCUACCGUCUCUUACCUCCCUCUACUUUUAGGAAACACGUUGUAUCCCCGGAGGGGGUGCACCGUUCCUGGAGGUACUGCAAUACCAGGUCGAUGCGUGGAGUGGACGGAGCAAGCUCCUAUUCCAUCUCCCUGCUCCAAAAAUCCAUUUAAUAUAUUGUCCUCGGAUAGAGGACGUAUCAGAUAUUAAACUGAUAAGAACAGAUACUACACUUGAUCUUAGCCAAAAGGCCGAGAAGCGAUGCGCUCGCCUUCGCGCCCGCCGUCACCGUCCCACUCUCAUCCACAUUCAAGUCGCGGUGAGAGCCCCAGCCUCGCUCCUUGCCCCAUUCCCUCUGUCUCGUCCACAGCGCUAUUGACGCCCUUACACUCUCGGGCUGAUUUCUUAUUCUCCGCCUUUGAAAAGGGAAAUCUUACACCCGUGCUUCUUCCGGCGUUCCCGGGCUUUCAUUUCCAAUUUGCAUGCCCCCGCCCCUUUCACAGAGGGCGUGGCCUCCGCCGUUGACUCCGCCCCCCGGGGCCGCCUUCUGCCUGGGGGAGCCGGGGCUCCGCUGGGGGCGACUUCCUUGUUCGUAUCGAGCCCAGCGAAAAGACAGAACCGGAAGAGACCGGGGGCGAAGGCGACAGGGGUCUGUGGAAGAGACCUGUCGGCGGAGAGCGGUCCACGUUUUCCUGGAGAAAGACGAGGCCCCAGGGCAGGAGCGCGGGCUGCGCUGGGCCUUUACUUCGCCGCCCGCGGGCGGGGAGACCGGCCCCGUACCCGAGGGGACGAGGGGACGAGGGGCCCAUGCCCAGUCAGGGAAGCCGAAGGCCUGGAGGGGCUUCCGGGAGCAGGGGCUGGAGUUCCUCUGCCAGGCAGGAGGCUGGCACCAGACACCCGGCAGAGGGAGGCGGCGAGGGCCCAGCAAGGAUUCUCCCCAGCCCCUGUGCCUGCGUCUCCUGCGGCUUCUGUGCGCGGACCGUGUCCUGUGCUGUGUAGGGAACGCUGCCUCUCUGCUCGGGACGUGGAUUCCUUUCCCCUCCUCCUCGCCCGGCUACUUCUGACGCAGGUCGUCAGGACUCCGCUUGGGUGUCACCCGUGCAGGAAGCCUCCCUUAGUCAAGGGCCCUCGGCACCCGCCCCAUAUGUGACUAGCAGCCCUCCUGUGUAUUUCAUCGCGCCCCCGUUGUUUAUAUCAGCCAUUCCACUCACCACCCUUCUGGGCAACCCUUUAUCUCCCGCUCUGAAAUCCCAUCGCUGAGGGCUGGGACCCCUCCUCAGUGCUUAUCCCUGUUUCCCCGCGCGAGUCUGGCGCCUGGCGUGUGGAAGGCGCUCAGUAAACGUUUGUGGAGCGAAGAAACGACGCAAAGGUGAUGAGCACGACGCAGUUAGGAGGCUAUUGGCCCGGCGCGGGGGAAAAGGGGGAAGGUCGGGCUCGGGGUGGCAGGACCCCAGAGGGCAGGGGUGGCUGCCGGGGUGCUCUUGGGGCAAGGUGGGCGUCAAGGCCCCCAGCAAGGUUGGGAUAAAGUUCCUCUCCGAGGCACAGACUGCCGCCUGCGGGCUCAGCAUUUACCUCUCCCUUCCUCCUUCCUAACGCAACUUCAGCGGAGGGCUGAGGGCUCUACUGCGCAUUACCUGGAAAACUUAUUUCACUCCACGGCCCUAAGAGGUGGGCCUUAUUAUUAGCCACGGCCAGGGUUAGGGUGAGGCCACUCCUCCAGGGCAGAAUUUCAGGGGGUGCCCACCCCCCCGCCCUAAAUCAUUCAGCAAUCAACAUAAAUUAUAGUUCAACGCAAUGUAUCUUAUCUUGUGGGCCGCAAGCCACCCAGGUGCCCAGGCAAGAGCCUGAAGGCACAAGCUGUUCCAGUACAGCGAAGAAAAUAAUUAGAAUAAGAAAAGUUUUACUAGAGAUAGGAAACGGAUAGGAUUAUAUCUGACUAUUAUUAAUCAUUAGUUUGUAGCAUCACUCUUUGUUCUAUUACCAUAAUGAUCUCUGUUCUAUUAUGAUUACCUUGGGGGAAACCAGGCCACACAGAGUUAGGAGCUGAAGGGCCACAGUGAGAGGUGACCAGAAGACGAGAGUGUGAGCCCUCAUUCACGCCCAGAGAAGGGCCGCUGGAGGGCUCCUUGGCCUAGCGGUAAUGCCAGUGCCUGGGAAGGCCCUGGUUACUUAGCAGGCCUUGGUCUAGCGGUGGCCCCAGUGCCUGGGAAGGCACCCGUUACUUAGCAGACCCGGAAAGGGAAUCUCCCUCUCUCCAGGGGAGACAGAGAACGCUCCGCUCCACCACCUCUUGUGGGAGGUCUGACAUUAGCCAGGCCGGCCCGCAGUCAUCCGGAGGCUCCAACGUCUGUCUCCCUGUGAUGCUGUGCUUCAGUGGUCACGCUCCUUGUUCACUUUCAUGUUCAGCCUGUACACCUGGCUCCUCCUUUUAAGUUCUUAGAAGACAGCAGUAGCAGAACUAGUAGGAGUACCACAGUCUUCGAUCUUUCUGAUAAGUGCAUAGAAGAAACGCUGACGUUUGCUGUCCUCCCUCUCCACCUCGGCUACCACAAAGGGAAAGGCCCCCUGUCCAGUGCACACGUGACUCGCGUGACCUAUCGAUCAUUGGAGAUGACUGGCACUCCUUACCCUGCCCCCUUGCCUUGACUACAAUAAAUAGCAGCGCUCCAGGCACUCGGGGCACUACCUGUCUGUCUCCGCGCUUUGGUGGCAGUGGUCCCCCGGGCCCAGCUGUCUUUCUUCCUAUCUCUUUGUCUUCUGUCUUUAUCUCUUCGAUCUCUCGUCUCCGCACACACGCGAAGAGAAAACCCACAGACCCGGUAGGGGUGGACCCUACAUUAUCUCAGCUACAACAUAAUCAGGAUAUUCACGUGGACUACUGAGUCUUUCGGUGCCCCCUUGCUGUUUUAGUUUUGUCCUGCGGCCGAGUGUUUCCCUCGCUUCACGCCAACACAAUCUCCGCCGCCCUGUCUUGUCAUCCCCAUUCUACAGCCCAGCACGGUGUAGUAUGGCAGCCGCUAGCCACAGGUAUCUAGGGAGCCCUGGAAAUGUGGUCAGUUCUAAUGGAGCUGUGCUGUAAGUGUGAAAUACACGUGGGAUUUUGACGGCAGUGGGAGCAAAAUUCUCCCAAUUUUUUUUUUUUUUUUUUUUUUUCAGACGGAGGUUCCGCUCUUGUUACCCAGCCUGGAGUCCAGUGGCGCGAUCUAGGCUCUCUGCAACCUCCGCCUCCCGGGUUCAAGCGAUUCCCCUUAGAUACAGGGAUGAGACCCAAAAGAGCCGGCAGAGGUUUUUCAUCGUGCUCGCAAGGGCAACUGCCCGGUGGCUGAUCCCGUAAAGGAUACACAUACCUAGAGCGGAGCCUAAAGAUGCAUCCAGCAUGACGGGUGGAGCCACGAUGCUUGGACUCGAGCUCUGCUCCUGUGCGUUCCGUGAUCAAUGGCUUAUACUACCUGCACCUCAGUUUUUCCCGGGCAAAAAAGGAAGCUUGCUGCCGGUGCGUUGGCACCUGCCUUAAAGUGCCAGCUACUCAGCGGGCUGAAGAGGAAGAAGUUCCUACUAGGAAGACACGUGGACACGUAUGUUUACUGCAGCACUAUUUACAAUAGCAAAGACUUGGAACCAACUCGAAUGCCCAUGAAUGAUAGGCUGGAUAAAGAAAGUGUGGCACGUAUACAGCAUGGAAUUACUACGCAGCCAUAAAAAAGGAUGAGUUCAUGACCUCUGCGGGAACGUGGAUGAAGCUGGAAGGCCUCAUUCUCAGCAAACUGACACAGGAAGCGAAAACCAAACACCGCAUGUUCUCGCUCCUAAGUGGGAGUUGAACAGCGAGAACACAUGGGACACAGGGAGGGGAACAUCACACGCCGGGCCCUGACGGGGCGUGGGGGGCAAGGGGAGAGAGAGCAUUAGGACAAAUAGCCAACGCAUGCGGGGCUUCAAACCUAGACGACUGGUGGAUAGGUGCAGCAAAGCACCGUGGCACACGUGUACCUAUGUUCCAAACCUGCACGUCCUGCACAUGUACCCCAGAACUUGGGAGGGGGUGGGGGAAACCAAAAGAGCGAGGGAGAGGCGGGGGGGGGGGAAGAGAGAGAGAGAGGGAAAGAGAGAGAGAGACAGAGAGAGGAGAGAGAGAGAGAGAGAGAGAGAGAGACAGAGAGAGAGACAGAGAGACAGAGACAGACACAGAGAGACGGAGAGACAGAGAGAGAGAGAGAGAAAGAGAGAGAGAGAGAGAGAGAGAGAGAGAGAGACAGGAGAAAGAAGAACUCCGGGUGGGUCCCAUUCCUUUAAAAGGUCGCCACCCACUCGACUGCCAAGCUGAGAUCCUAAGGACCUCCCCAAAGGAGGAGGUCGUGGCCUUCCCAAAGCGCAGUAGCCACGGUGGAAACGACAGCGUGCCGCAUAAGCCUACCGUCUACCGCCCGCACAUCAGGAACCUCAAGGUACUUCAGGGAAGCAGUUAAGUCAAGCCGGCGCGUCACAGGCACUCGGCGUGCAAGCCGCCCCGCAGGUGCUACCGUCUCUUACCUCCCUCUACUUUUAGGAAACACGUUGUAUCCCCGGAGGGGGUGCACCGUUCCUGGAGGUACUGCAAUACCAGGUCGAUGCGUGGAGUGGACGGAGCAAGCUCCUAUUCCAUCUCCCUGCUCCAAAAAUCCAUUUAAUAUAUUGUCCUCGGAUAGAGGACGUAUCAGAUAUUAAACUGAUAAGAACAGAUACUACACUUGAUCUUAGCCAAAAGGCCGAGAAGCGAUGCGCUCGCCUUCGCGCCCGCCGUCACCGUCCCACUCUCAUCCACAUUCAAGUCGCGGUGAGAGCCCCAGCCUCGCUCCUUGCCCCAUUCCCUCUGUCUCGUCCACAGCGCUAUUGACGCCCUUACACUCUCGGGCUGAUUUCUUAUUCUCCGCCUUUGAAAAGGGAAAUCUUACACCCGUGCUUCUUCCGGCGUUCCCGGGCUUUCAUUUCGAAUUUGCAUGCCCCGCCCUUUCACAGAGGGCGUGGCCUCCGCCGUUGACUCCGCCCCCGGGGCCGCCUCUGCCUGGGGGAGCCGGGGCUCCGCUGGGGGCGACUUCCUUGUUCGUAUCGAGCCAGCGAAAAGACAGAACCGGAAGAGACCGGGGGCGAAGGCGACAGGGGUCUGUGGAAGAGACCUGUCGGCGGAGAGCGGUCCACGUUUUCCUGGAGAAAGACGAGGCCCCAGGGCAGGAGCGCGGGCUGCGCUGGGCCUUUACUUCGCCGCCCGCGGGCGGGGAGACCGGCCCCGUACCCGAGGGGACGAGGGGACGAGGGGCCCAUGCCCAGUCAGGGAAGCCGAAGGCCUGGAGGGGCUUCCGGGAGCAGGGGCUGGAGUUCCUCUGCCAGGCAGGAGGCUGGCACCAGACACCCGGCAGAGGGAGGCGGCGAGGGCCCAGCAAGGAUUCUCCCCAGCCCCUGUGCCUGCGUCUCCUGCGGCUUCUGUGCGCGGACCGUGUCCUGUGCUGUGUAGGGAACGCUGCCUCUCUGCUCGGGACGUGGAUUCCUUUCCCCUCCUCCUCGCCUGGCUACUUCUGACGCAGGUCGUCAGGACUCCGCUUGGGUGUCACCCGUGCAGGAAGCCUCCCUUAGUCAAGGGCCCUCGGCACCCGCCCCAUAUGUGACUAGCAGCCCUCCUGUGUAUUUCAUCGCGCCCCCGUUGUUUAUAUCAGCCAUUCCACUCACCACCCUUCUGGGCAACCCUUUAUCUCCCGCUCUGAAAUCCCAUCGCUGAGGGCUGGGACCCCUCCUCAGUGCUUAUCCCUGUUUCCCCGCGCGAGUCUGGCGCCUGGCGUGUGGAAGGCGCUCAGUAAACGUUUGUGGAGCGAAGAAACGACGCAAAGGUGAUGAGCACGACGCAGUUAGGAGGCUAUUGGCCCGGCGCGGGGGAAAAAGGGGAAGGUCGGGCUCGGGGUGGCAGGACCCCAGAGGGCAGGGGUGGCUGCCGGGGUGCUCUUGGGGCAAGGUGGGCGUCAAGGCCCCCAGCAAGGUUGGGAUAAAGUUUCUCUCCGAGGCACAGACUGCCGCCUGCGGGCUCAGCAUUUACCUCUCCCUUCCUCCUUCCUAACGCAACUUCAGCGGAGGGCUGAGGGCUCUACUGCGCAUUACCUGGAAAACUUAUUUCACUCCACGGCCCUAAGAGGUGGGCCUUAUUAUUAGCCACGGCCAGGGUUAGGGUGAGGCCACUCCUCCAGGGCAGAAUUUCAGGGGGUGCCCAACCCCCCGCCCUAAAUCAUUCAGCAAUCAACAUAAAUUAUAGUUCAACGCAAUGUAUCUUAUCUUGUGGGCCGCAAGCCACCCAGGUGCCCAGGCAAGAGCCUGAAGGCACAAGCUGUUCCAGUACAGCGAAGAAAAUAAUUAGAAUAAGAAAAGUUUUACUAGAGAUAGGAAACGGAUAGGAUUAUAUCUGACUAUUAUUAAUCAUUAGUUUGUAGCAUCACUCUUUGUUCUAUUACCAUAAUGAUCUCUGUUCUAUUAUGAUUACCUUGGGGAAACCAGGCCACACAGAGUUAGGAGCUGAAGGGCCACAGUGAGAGGUGACCAGAAGACGAGAGUGUGAGCCCUCAUUCACGCCCAGAGAAGGGCCGCUGGAGGCUCCUUGGCUAGCGGUAAUGCCAGUGCCUGGGAAGGCCCUGGUUACUUAGCAGGCCUUGGUCUAGCGGUGGCCCAGUGCCUGGGAAGGCACCCGUUACUUAGCAGACCCGGAAAGGGAAUCUCCCUCUCUCCAGGGGAGACAGAGUCAGACGCUCCACCACCUCUUGUGGGAGGUCUGACAUUAGCCAGGCCGGCCCGCAGUCAUCCGGAGGCUCCAACGUCUGUCUCCCUGUGAUGCUGUGCUUCAGUGGUCACGCUCCUUGUUCACUUUCAUGUUCAGCCUGUACACCUGGCUCCUCCUUUUAAGUUCUUAGAAGACAGCAGUAGCAGAACUAGUAGGAGUACCACAGUCUUCGAUCUUUCUGAUAAGUGCAUAGAAGAAACGCUGACGUUUGCUGUCCUCCCUCUCCACCUCGGCUACCACAAAGGGAAAGGCCCCCUGUCCAGUGCACACGUGACUCGCGUGACCUAUCGAUCAUUGGAGAUGACUGGCACUCCUUACCCUGCCCCCUUGCCUUGACUACAAUAAAUAGCAGCGCCUCCAGGCACUCGGGGCCACUACCUGUCUGUCUCCGCGCUUUGGUGGCAGUGGUCCCCCGGGCCCAGCUGUCUUUCUUCCUAUCUCUUUGUCUUCUGUCUUUAUCUCUUCGAUCUCUCGUCUCCGCACACACGCGAAGAGAAAACCCACAGACCCGGUAGGGGUGGACCCUACAUUAUCUCAGCUACAACAUAAUCAGGAUAUUCACGUGGACUACUGAGUCUUUCGGUGCCCCCUUGCUGUUUUAGUUUUGUCCUGCGGCCGAGUGUUUCCCUCGCUUCACGCCAACACAAUCUCCGCCGCCCUGUCUUGUCAUCCCCAUUCUACAGCCCAGCACGGUGUAGUAUGGCAGCCGCUAGCCACAGGUAUCUAGGGAGCCCUGGAAAUGUGGUCAGUUCUAAUGGAGCUGCGCUGUUAAGUGUGAAAUACACGUGGGAUUUUGACGGCAGUGGGAGCAAAAUUCUCCCAAUUUUUUUUUUUUUUUUUUUUUUUUUCAGACGGAGGUUCCGCUCUUGUUACCCAGCCUGGAGUCCAAUGGCGCGAUCUAGGCUCUCUGCAACCUCCGCCUCCCGGGUUCAAGCGAUUCCCCUGCCUCAGCCUCCCGAGCAGCUGGGACUACAGGCAUGUGCCACCACGCCCGGCUAACUUUGUAUUUUUAGUACAGAUGGGGUUUCUCCACGUUGCUCAGGCUGGUCUCCAACUCCCGACCUCCGGUGAUCUGCCCAGCUGCCGCCUCCCAAAGUGUUGCUUGCGAUUACAGGCUUGAGCCACCGCUCACCCUGGCUUUUUUUUUUUUUUUUCCAGACAAACUCUCGCUCUGUCGCCCAGGCUGGAGUGCAGUGGCGCGAUCUCGGCUCACUGCAGCCUCUACCUCCCGGGUUCCAGCGAUUCUCCUGCCUCAGCCUCCUGGGUAGCUGGGAUUACAGGCGCAGGCCACCACGCCCGGCUAAUUUUUGUAUUUUUAGGGGGUUUCGCCAUGUCGGCCAGGCUGGUCUCGAGCUCCUGACCUCAGGCGAUCCGCCCGCCUCGGCCUCCCAAAGCGCUGGGAUUACAGGCGUAAGCCACCGCGCCGGGCUCUUUCAUUCUGUCUUUAUUUUCUGAGAUAGAGUCCUGCUCGGACGCUCAGGUUGGACUGCAACGGCGUGAUCUCGGCUCGCUGAAACUUCCGCCUCCCGGGUUCAAGCGAUUCUCCUGUCUCAGCCUCCCGAGUAGCUGGGAUUAUUGACGGCAGCACCACGCCCGGCUACUUUUUGUGGUUUUUGUAUCUUCUGUCUUCUGCUCUUUAGUACCGCAUAGAGCCGCAGAAGACUAGCGAGUCGAACAAACGGCCCCUCUUGCAGCAGUUGUUGAUCACGGGCUGCCCCCCGGUACUCAUCCUGUGUCUCUCGUCCAAAUCCCCGCUCCUCCUCAGCUAUCACCUCUGCCGAUGCUGGUGGUUUCCCUGGGUACCGGGAACCAAACUCUCAUUCCCCAGCGCUAAGCCCCCCGUGCCAGGCCCUUCUCAAGUCAGGGUUCCUGCACAUUCACAGUUACGGUGGCCCUGGGAGUAACACCUGGCACCCAAACAGGUCACCAGAGUCCACACAUAGUCCACCUGCCCUCCCUGCGUAAGAUCAGCUCUUCCUCCUCCCGACGAUAGAUCAGGGUCAAUGAUCCCUGCCAAGAUGGCGACUGCUCCAGCCUGCUGGUCCAACCUGUCCAGCCACAGCUGUUGCUCGAAGGCUUGAAGUUCAAUGGGACCCUCUCCCGCUUUCUACAAACUGGUUCCUUUAUUUUUAUGUUUAUUUAUUUGGGACGGGGUCUGGCUCUGUCACCCAAGGCUGGAGUGCAGUGGUGCAAUCACUGCUCACUGCAGCAUCCACCUCCCAGCGUCCACCCAUCCUCCUGGCCUCAGCCUCCGGAACAGCUGGGGUACAGGUACGCCCCAGCCCGAACAGGUUUUCACUAGGUUGCCUGGGCUCUUUCUUUCUUUGUCUGUGUUUGUUUGUUGGUUGGUUGGUUGGUUGGUUGGUUUUUGUUUGUUUGUUUCGAGACGGGGCUCCGGCUCUGCCGCCGGGGGCUGCAGUGCAAUGGCGCGAUCUCACCUCACUGCGGCCUUCUGGGCUCAAGCGAUCCUCCCACUGUGCCCGGCCUGAAGACAGCCUUUAGAGAAAGAAGCAGGGGGAGUUCUUCCGAGGACAGACAAGAUUUCUGGAGUUUGGAAAGGGUGAGAGACUGGGUCAGCGAAAGGAACAUUCCGGUCUUUAUGUUGGGAUGCAACGUAUAGAUACAGGGAUGAGACCCAAAAGAGCCGGCAGAGGUUUGUCAUCGUGCUCGCAAGGCAACUGCCGGUGGCUGAUCCCGUAAAGGAUACACAUACCUAGAGCGGAGCCUAAAGAUGCAUCCAGCAUGACGGGUGGAGCCACGAUGCUUGGACUCGACUCUGCUCCUGUGCGUUCCGUGAUCAAUGGCUUAUACUACCUGCACCUCAGUUUUUCCCGGGCAAAAAAGGAAGCUUGCUGCCGGUGCGUUGGCACCUGCCUUAAAGUGCCAGCUACUCAGCGGGCUGAAGAGGAAGAAGUUCCUACUAGGAAGACACGUGGACACGUAUGUUUACUGCAGCACUAUUUACAAUAGCAAAGACUUGGAACCAACUCGAAUGCCCAUGAAUGAUAGGCUGGAUAAAGAAAGUGUGGCACGUAUACAGCAUGGAAUUACUACGCAGCCAUAAAAAAGGAUGAGUUCAUGACCUCUGCGGGAACGUGGAUGAAGCUGGAAGGCCUCAUUCUCAGCAAACUGACACAGGAAGCGAAAACCAAACACCGCAUGUUCUCGCUCCUAAGUGGGAGUUGAACAGCGAGAACACAUGGGACACAGGGAGGGGAACAUCACACGCCGGGCCCUGACGGGGCGUGGGGGGCAAGGGGAGAGAGAGCAUUAGGACAAAUAGCCAACGCAUGCGGGGCUUCAAACCUAGACGACUGGUGGAUAGGUGCAGCAAAGCACCGUGGCACACGUGUACCUAUGUUCCAAACCUGCACGUCCUGCACAUGUACCCCAGAACUUGGGAGGGGGUGGGGGAAACCAAAAGAGCGAGGGAGAGGCGGGGGGGGGAAAGAGAGAGAGAGAGGGAAAGAGAGAGAGAGACAGAGAGAGGAGAGAGAGAGUGAGAGAGAGAGAGAGAGAGAGAGAGACAGAGAGAGAGACAGAGAGACAGAGACAGACACAGAGAGACGGAGAGACAGAGAGAGAGAGAGAGAAAGAGAGAGAGAGAGAGAGAGACAGGAGAAAGAAGAACUCCGGGUGGGUCCCAUUCCUUUAAAAGGUCGCCACCCACUCGACUGCCAAGCUGAGAUCCUAAGGACCUCCCCAAAGGAGGAGGUCGUGGCCUUCCCAAAGCGCAGUAGCCACGGUGGAAACGAAAGCGUGCCACAUAAGCCUACCGUCUACCGCCCGCACAUCAGGAACCUCACGGUACUUCAGGGAAGCAGUUAAGUCAAGCCGGCGCGUCACAGGCACUCGGCGUGCAAGCCGCCCCGCAGGUGCUACCGUCUCUUACCUCCCUCUACUUUUAGGAAACACGUUGUAUCCCCGGAGGGGGUGCACCGUUCCUGGAGGUACUGCAAUACCAGGUCGAUGCGUGGAGUGGACGGAGCAAGCUCCUAUUCCAUCUCCCUGCUCCAAAAAUCCAUUUAAUAUAUUGUCCUCGGAUAGAGGACGUAUCAGAUAUUAAACUGAUAAGAACAGAUACUACACUUGAUCUUAGCCAAAAGGCCGAGAAGCGAUGCGCUCGCCUUCGCGCCCGCCGUCACCGUCCCACUCUCAUCCACAUUCAAGUCGCGGUGAGAGCCCCAGCCUCGCUCCUUGCCCCAUUCCCUCUGUCUCGUCCACAGCGCUAUUGACGCCCUUACACUCUCGGGCUGAUUUCUUAUUCUCCGCCUUUGAAAAGGGAAAUCUUACACCCGUGCUUCUUCCGGCGUUCCCGGGCUUUCAUUUCGAAUUUGCAUGCCCCGCCCUUUCACAGAGGGCGUGGCCUCCGCCGUUGACUCCGCCCCCGGGGCCGCCUCUGCCUGGGGGAGCCGGGGCUCCGCUGGGGGCGACUUCCUUGUUCGUAUCGAGCCAGCGAAAAGACAGAACCGGAAGAGACCGGGGGCGAAGGCGACAGGGGUCUGUGGAAGAGACCUGUCGGCGGAGAGCGGUCCACGUUUUCCUGGAGAAAGACGAGGCCCCAGGCAGGAGCGCGGGCUGCGUGGGCCUUUUACUUCGCCGCCCGGGUAAGUAACCGGGCCCCGUACCCGAGGGGACGGGGGAACCCCCAGCAAGCUGGAUAAAGUUCUUUCCGAGCACAGACUGGCGCCUGCGGGCUCAGCAUUUACCUCUCCCGUCCUUCCCUAACGCAACUUCAGCGGAGGGCUGAGGGGCUCUACUGCGCAUUACCUGGAAAACUUAUUUCACUCCACGGCCCUAAGAGGUGGGCCUUAUUAUUAGCCACGGCCAGGGUUAGGGUGAGGCCACUCCUCCAGGGCAGAAUUUCAGGGGGUGCCCACCCCCCCGCCCUAAAUCAUUCAGCAAUCAACAUAAAUUAUAGUUCAACGCAAUGUAUCUUAUCUUGUGGGCCGCAAGCCACCCAGGUGCCCAGGCAAGAGCCUGAAGGCACAAGCUGUUCCAGUACAGCGAAGAAAAUAAUUAGAAUAAGAAAAGUUUUACUAGAGAUAGGAAACGGAUAGGAUUAUAUCUGACUAUUAUUAAUCAUUAGUUUGUAGCAUCACUCUUUGUUCUAUUACCAUAAUGAUCUCUGUUCUAUUAUGAUUACCUUGGGGGAAACCAGGCCACACAGAGUUAGGAGCUGAAGGGCCACAGUGAGAGGUGACCAGAAGACGAGAGUGUGAGCCCUCAUUCACGCCCAGAGAAGGGCCGCUGGAGGGCUCCUUGGCCUAGCGGUAAUGCCAGUGCCUGGGAAGGCCCUGGUUACUUAGCAGGCCUUGGUCUAGCGGUGGCCCCAGUGCCUGGGAAGGCACCCGUUACUUAGCAGACCCGGAAAGGGAAUCUCCCUCUCUCCAGGGGAGACAGAGAACGCUCCGCUCCACCACCUCUUGUGGGAGGUCUGACAUUAGCCAGGCCGGCCCGCAGUCAUCCGGAGGCUCCAACGUCUGUCUCCCUGUGAUGCUGUGCUUCAGUGGUCACGCUCCUUGUUCACUUUCAUGUUCAGCCUGUACACCUGGCUCCUCCUUUUAAGUUCUUAGAAGACAGCAGUAGCAGAACUAGUAGGAGUACCACAGUCUUCGAUCUUUCUGAUAAGUGCAUAGAAGAAACGCUGACGUUUGCUGUCCUCCCUCUCCACCUCGGCUACCACAAAGGGAAAGGCCCCCUGUCCAGUGCACACGUGACUCGCGUGACCUAUCGAUCAUUGGAGAUGACUGGCACUCCUUACCCUGCCCCCUUGCCUUGACUACAAUAAAUAGCAGCGCCUCCAGGCACUCGGGGCCACUACCUGUCUGUCUCCGCGCUUUGGUGGCAGUGGUCCCCCGGGCCCAGCUGUCUUUCUUCCUAUCUCUUUGUCUUCUGUCUUUAUCUCUUCGAUCUCUCGUCUCCGCACACACGCGAAGAGAAAACCCACAGACCCGGUAGGGGUGGACCCUACAUUAUCUCAGCUACAACAUAAUCAGGAUAUUCACGUGGACUACUGAGUCUUUCGGUGCCCCCUUGCUGUUUUAGUUUUGUCCUGCGGCCGAGUGUUUCCCUCGCUUCACGCCAACACAAUCUCCGCCGCCCUGUCUUGUCAUCCCCAUUCUACAGCCCAGCACGGUGUAGUAUGGCAGCCGCUAGCCACAGGUAUCUAGGGAGCCCUGGAAAUGUGGUCAGUUCUAAUGGAGCUGUGCUGUAAGUGUGAAAUACACGUGGGAUUUUGACGGCAGUGGGAGCAAAAUUCUCCCAAUUUUUUUUUUUUUUUUUUUUUUUUUUCAGACGGAGGUUCCGCUCUUGUUACCCAGCCUGGAGUCCAAUGGCGCGAUCUAGGCUCUCUGCAACCUCCGCCUCCCGGGUUCAAGCGAUUCCCCUGCCUCAGCCUCCCGAGCAGCUGGGACUACAGGCAUGUGCCACCACGCCCGGCUAACUUUGUAUUUUUAGUACAGAUGGGGUUUCUCCACGUUGCUCAGGCUGGUCUCCAACUCCCGACCUCCGGUGAUCUGCCCAGCUGCCGCCUCCCAAAGUGUUGCUUGCGAUUACAGGCUUGAGCCACCGCUCACCCUGGCUUUUUUUUUUUUUUUUCCAGACAAACUCUCGCUCUGUCGCCCAGGCUGGAGUGCAGUGGCGCGAUCUCGGCUCACUGCAGCCUCUACCUCCCGGGUUCCAGCGAUUCUCCUGCCUCAGCCUCCUGGGUAGCUGGGAUUACAGGCGCAGGCCACCACGCCCGGCUAAUUUUUGUAUUUUUAGGGGGUUUCGCCAUGUCGGCCAGGCUGGUCUCGAGCUCCUGACCUCAGGCGAUCCGCCCGCCUCGGCCUCCCAAAGCGCUGGGAUUACAGGCGUAAGCCACCGCGCCGGGCUCUUUCAUUCUGUCUUUAUUUUCUGAGAUAGAGUCUCGCUCGGACGCUCAGGUUGGACUGCAACGGCGUGAUCUCGGCUCGCUGAAACUUCCGCCUCCCGGGUUCAAGCGAUUCUCCUGUCUCAGCCUCCCGAGUAGCUGGGAUUAUUGACGGGCAGCACCACGCCCGGCUACUUUUUGUGGUUUUUGUAUCUUCUGUCUUCUGCUCUUUAGUACCGCAUAGAGCCGCAGAAGACUAGCGAGUCGAACAAACGGCCCCUCUUGCAGCAGUUGUUGAUCACGGGGCUGCCCCCCGGUACUCAUCCUGUGUCUCUCGUCCAAAUCCCCGCUCCUCCUCAGCUAUCACCUCUGCCGAUGCUGGUGGUUUCCCUGGGUACCGGGAACCAAACUCUCAUUCCCCAGGGGCCCUAAGCCCCCCCGUGGCCAGGCCCUUCUCAAGUCAGGGUUCCUGCACAUUCACAGUUACGGGUGGCCCUGGGAGUAACACCUGGCACCCAAACAGGUCACCAGAGUCCACACAUAGUCCACCUGCCCUCCCUGCGUAAGAUCAGCUCUUCCUCCUCCCGACGAUAGAUCAGGGUCAAUGAUCCCUGCCAAGAUGGCGACUGCUCCAGCCUGCUGGUCCAACCUGUCCAGCCACAGCUGUUGCUCGAAGGCUUGAAGUUCAAUGGGACCCUCUCCCGCUUUCUACAAACUGGUUCCUUUAUUUUUAUGUUUAUUUAUUUGGGACGGGGUCUGGCUCUGUCACCCAGGCUGGAGUGCAGUGGUGCAAUCACUGCUCACAGCAGCAUCCACCUCCCAGCGUCCACCCAUCCUCCUGGCCUCAGCUCCGGAACAGCUGGGGUACAGGUACGAGUAGCAUACUAGUAGGAGUACCACAGUCUUCGAUCUUUCUGAUAAGUUGUUUCAGCUUGCGCUGACGUUUGCUGUCCUCCCUCUCCACCUCGGCUACCACAAAGGGAAAGGCCCCCUGUCCAGUGCACACGUGACUCGCGUGACCUAUCGAUCAUUGGAGAUGACUGGCACUCCUUACCCUGCCCCCUUGCCUUGACUACAAUAAAUAGCAGCGCCUCCAGGCACUCGGGGCCACUACCUGUCUGUCUCCGCGCUUUGGUGGCAGUGGUCCCCCGGGCCCAGCUGUCUUUCUUCCUAUCUCUUUGUCUUCUGUCUUUAUCUCUUCGAUCUCUCGUCUCCGCACACACGCGAAGAGAAAACCCACAGACCCGGUAGGGGUGGACCCUACAUUAUCUCAGCUACAACAUAAUCAGGAUAUUCACGUGGACUACUGAGUCUUUCGGUGCCCCCUUGCUGUUUUAGUUUUGUCCUGCGGCCGAGUGUUUCCCUCGCUUCACGCCAACACAAUCUCCGCCGCCCUGUCUUGUCAUCCCCAUUCUACAGCCCAGCACGGUGUAGUAUGGCAGCCGCUAGCCACAGGUAUCUAGGGAGCCCUGGAAAUGUGGUCAGUUCUAAUGGAGCUGUGCUGUAAGUGUGAAAUACACGUGGGAUUUUGACGGCAGUGGGAGCAAAAUUCUCCCAAUUUUUUUUUUUUUUUUUUUUUUUCAGACGGAGGUUCCGCUCUUGUUACCCAGCCUGGAGUCCAGUGGCGCGAUCUAGGCUCUCUGCAACCUCCGCCUCCCGGGUUCAAGCGAUUCCCCUGCCUCAGCCUCCCGAGCAGCUGGGACUACAGGCAUGUGCCACCACGCCCGGCUAACUUUGUAUUUUUAGUACAGAUGGGGUUUCUCCACGUUGCUCAGGCUGGUCUCCAACUCCCGACCUCCGGUGAUCUGCCCAGCUGCCGCCUCCCAAAGUGUUGCUUGCGAUUACAGGCUUGAGCCACCGCUCACCCUGGCUUUUUUUUUUUUUUUUUCCAGACAAACUCUCGCUCUGUCGCCCAGGCUGGAGUGCAGUGGCGCGAUCUCGGCUCACUGCAGCCUCUACCUCCCGGGUUCCAGCGAUUCUCCUGCCUCAGCCUCCUGGGUAGCUGGGAUUACAGGCGCAGGCCACCACGCCCGGCUAAUUUUUGUAUUUUUAGGGGGUUUCGCCAUGUCGGCCAGGCUGGUCUCGAGCUCCUGACCUCAGGCGAUCCGCCCGCCUCGGCCUCCCAAAGCGCUGGGAUUACAGGCGUAAGCCACCGCGCCGGGCUCUUUCAUUCUGUCUUUAUUUUCUGAGAUAGAGUCUCGCUCGGACGCUCAGGUUGGACUGCAACGGCGUGAUCUCGGCUCGCUGAAACUUCCGCCUCCCGGGUUCAAGCGAUUCUCCUGUCUCAGCCUCCCGAGUAGCUGGGAUUAUUGACGGGCAGCACCACGCCCGGCUACUUUUUGUGGUUUUUGUAUCUUCUGUCUUCUGCUCUUUACUACCGCAUAGAGCCGCAUAAGACCCCCCAGCAAGGUGGGAUAAAGUUUUCUCCGAGGCACAGAUCUGGCCCUGCGGGCUCAGCAUUUACCUCUCCCUUCCUCCUUCCAACGCAACUUCAGCGGAGGGCUGAGGGCUCUACUGCGCAUUACCUGGAAAACUUAUUUCACUCCACGCCCUAAGAGGUGGCCUUAUUAUUACCACGGCCAGGGUUAGGGUGAGGCCACUCCUCCAGGGCAGAAUUUCAGGGGUGCCACCCCCCCGCCCUAAAUCAUUCAGCAAUCAACAUAAAUUAUAGUUCAACGCAAUGUAUCUUAUCUUGUGGCCGCAAGCCACCCAGGUGCCCAGCAAGACCUGAAGGCACAAGCUGUUCCAGUACAGCGAAGAAAAUAAUUAGAAUAAGAAAAGUUUUACUAGAGAUAGGAAAACGGAUAGGAUUAUAUCUGACUAUUAUUAAUCAUUAGUUUGUAGCAUCACUCUUUGUUCUAUUACCAUAAUGAUCUCUGUUCUAUUAUGAUUACCUUGGGGGAAACCAGGCCACACAGAGUUAGGAGCUGAAGGGCCACAGUGAGAGGUGACCAGAAGACGAGAGUGUGAGCCCUCAUUCACGCCCAGAGAAGGGCCGCUGGAGGGCUCCUUGGCCUAGCGGUAAUGCCAGUGCCUGGGAAGGCCCUGGUUACUUAGCAGGCCUUGGUCUAGCGUGGCCCCAGUGCCUGGGAAGGCACCCGUUACUUAGCAGACCCGGAAAGGGAAUCUCCCUCUCUCCAGGGGAGACAGAGAACGCUCCGCUCCACCACCUCUUGUGGGAGGUCUGACAUUAGCCAGGCCGGCCCGCAGUCAUCCGGAGGCUCCAACGUCUGUCUCCCUGUGAUGCUGUGCUUCAGUGGUCACGCUCCUUGUUCACUUUCAUGUUCAGCCUGUACACCUGGCUCCUCCUUUUAAGUUCUUAGAAGACAGCAGUAGCAGAACUAGUAGGAGUACCACAGUCUUCGAUCUUUCUGAUAAGUGCAUAGAAGAAACGCUGACGUUUGCUGUCCUCCCUCUCCACCUCGGCUACCACAAAGGGAAAGGCCCCCUGUCCAGUGGACACGUGACUCGCGUGACCUAUCGAUCAUUGGAGAUGACUGGCACUCCUUACCCUGCCCCCUUGCCUUGACUACAAUAAAUAGCAGCGCCUCCAGGCACUCGGGGCCACUACCUGUCUGUCUCCGCGCUUUGGUGGCAGUGGUCCCCCGGGCCCAGCUGUCUUUCUUCCUAUCUCUUUGUCUUCUGUCUUUAUCUCUUCGAUCUCUCGUCUCCGCACACACGCGAAGAGAAAACCCACAGACCCGGUAGGGGUGGACCCUACAUUAUCUCAGCUACAACAUAAUCAGGAUAUUCACGUGGACUACUGAGUCUUUCGGUGCCCCCUUGCUGUUUUAGUUUUGUCCUGCGGCCGAGUGUUUCCCUCGCUUCACGCCAACACAAUCUCCGCCGCCCUGUCUUGUCAUCCCCAUUCUACAGCCCAGCACGGUGUAGUAUGGCAGCCGCUAGCCACAGGUAUCUAGGGAGCCCUGGAAAUGUGGUCAGUUCUAAUGGAGCUGUGCUGUAAGUGUGAAAUACACGUGGGAUUUUGACGGCAGUGGGAGCAAAAUUCUCCCAAUUUUUUUUUUUUUUUUUUUUUUUCAGACGGAGGUUCCGCUCUUGUUACCCAGCCUGGAGUCCAAUGGCGCGAUCUAGGCUCUCUGCAACCUCCGCCUCCCGGGUUCAAGCGAUUCCCCUGCCUCAGCCUCCCGAGCAGCUGGGACUACAGGCAUGUGCCACCACGCCCGGCUAACUUUGUAUUUUUAGUACAGAUGGGGUUUCUCCACGUUGCUCAGGCUGGUCUCCAACUCCCGACCUCCGGUGAUCUGCCCAGCUGCCGCCUCCCAAAGUGUUGCUUGCGAUUACAGGCUUGAGCCACCGCUCACCCUGGCUUUUUUUUUUUUUUUUCCAGACGGAGGUUCCGCUCUUGUUACCCAGCCUGGAGUCCAGUGGCGCGAUCUAGGCUCUCUGCAACCUCCGCCUCCCGGGUUCAAGCGAUUCCCCUGCCUCAGCCUCCCGAGCAGCUGGGACUACAGGCAUGUGCCACCACGCCCGGCUAACUUUGUAUUUUUAGUACAGAUGGGGUUUCUCCACGUUGCUCAGGCUGGUCUCCAACUCCCGACCUCCGGUGAUCUGCCCAGCUGCCGCCUCCCAAAGUGUUGCUUGCGAUUACAGGCUUGAGCCACCGCUCACCCUGGCUUUUUUUUUUUUUUUUUCCAGACAAACUCUCGCUCUGUCGCCCAGGCUGGAGUGCAGUGGCGCGAUCUCGGCUCACUGCAGCCUCUACCUCCCGGGUUCCAGCGAUUCUCCUGCCUCAGCCUCCUGGGUAGCUGGGAUUACAGGCGCAGGCCACCACGCCCGGCUAAUUUUUGUAUUUUUAGGGGGUUUCGCCAUGUCGGCCAGGCUGGUCUCGAGCUCCUGACCUCAGGCGAUCCGCCCGCCUCGGCCUCCCAAAGCGCUGGGAUUACAGGCGUAAGCCACCGCGCCGGGCUCUUUCAUUCUGUCUUUAUUUUCUGAGAUAGAGUCUCGCUCGGACGCUCAGGUUGGACUGCAACGGCGUGAUCUCGGCUCGCUGAAACUUCCGCCUCCCGGGUUCAAGCGAUUCUCCUGUCUCAGCCUCCCGAGUAGCUGGGAUUAUUGACGGGCAGCACGAUCAUUGGAGAUGACUGGCAUACCUUACCUGCCCCCUUGCCUUGACUACAAUAAAUAGCAGCCCUCCAGGCACUCGGGGCACUACCUGUCUGUCUCCGCGCUUUGGUGGCAGUGGUCCCCCGGGCCCAGCUGUCUUUCUUCCUAUCUCUUUGUCUUCUGUCUUUAUCUCUUCGAUCUCUCGUCUCCGCACACACGCGAAGAGAAAACCCACAGACCCGGUAGGGUGGACCCUACAUUAUCUCAGCUACAACAUAAUCAGGAUAUUCACGUGGACUACUGAGUCUUUCGGUGCCCCCUUGCUGUUUUAGUUUUGUCCUGCGGCCGAGUGUUUCCCUCGCUUCACGCCAACACAAUCUCCGCCGCCCUGUCUUGUCAUCCCCAUUCUACAGCCCAGCACGGUGUAGUAUGGCAGCCGCUAGCCACAGGUAUCUAGGGAGCCCUGGAAAUGUGGUCAGUUCUAAUGGAGCUGUGCUGUAAGUGUGAAAUACACGUGGGAUUUUGACGGCAGUGGGAGCAAAAUUCUCCCAAUUUUUUUUUUUUUUUUUUUUUUUUCAGACGGAGGUUCCGCUCUUGUUACCCAGCCUGGAGUCCAAUGGCGCGAUCUAGGCUCUCUGCAACCUCCGCCUCCCGGGUUCAAGCGAUUCCCCUGCCUCAGCCUCCCGAGCAGCUGGGACUACAGGCAUGUGCCACCACGCCCGGCUAACUUUGUAUUUUUAGUACAGAUGGGGUUUCUCCACGUUGCUCAGGCUGGUCUCCAACUCCCGACCUCCGGUGAUCUGCCCAGCUGCCGCCUCCCAAAGUGUUGCUUUCGAUUACAGGCUUGAGCCACCGCUCACCCUGGCUUUUUUUUUUUUUUUUUCCAGACAAACUCUCGCUCUGUCGCCCAGGCUGGAGUGCAGUGGCGCGAUCUCGGCUCACUGCAGCCUCUACCUCCCGGGUUCCAGCGAUUCUCCUGCCUCAGCCUCCUGGGUAGCUGGGAUUACAGGCGCAGGCCACCACGCCCGGCUAAUUUUUGUAUUUUUAGGGGGUUUCGCCAUGUCGGCCAGGCUGGUCUCGAGCUCCUGACCUCAGGCGAUCCGCCCGCCUCGGCCUCCCAAAGCGCUGGGAUUACAGGCGUAAGCCACCGCGCCGGGCUCUUUCAUUCUGUCUUUAUUUUCUGAGAUAGAGUCUCGCUCGGACGCUCAGGUUGGACUGCAACGGCGUGAUCUCGGCUCGCUGAAACUUCCGCCUCCCGGGUUCAAGCGAUUCUCCUGUCUCAGCCUCCCGAGUAGCUGGGAUUAUUGACGGGCAGCACCACGCCCGGCUACUUUUUGUGGUUUUUGUAUCUUCUGUCUUCUGCUCUUUAGUACCGCAUAGAGCCGCAGAAGACUAGCGAGUCGAACAAACGGCCCCUCUUGCAGCAGUUGUUGAUCACGGGGCUGCCCCCCGGUACUCAUCCUGUGUCUCUCGUCCAAAUCCCCGCUCCUCCUCAGCUAUCACCUCUGCCGAUGCUGGUGGUUUCCCUGGGUACCGGGAACCAAAACUCUCAUUCCCCAGGGGCCUAAAGCCCCCCCGUGGCCAGGCCCCCUGUGGAAGGCGCUCAGUAAACGUUUGUGGAGCGAAGAAACGACGCAAAGGUGAUGAGCACGACGCAGUUAGGAGGCUAUUGGCCCGGCGCGGGGGAAAAAGGGGAAGGUCGGGCUCGGGGUGGCAGGACCCCAGAGGCAUGGGGUGGCUGCAGGGGUGCUCUUGGGGCAAGGUGGGCGUCAAGGCCCCAGCAAGGUUGGGAUAAAGUUUCUCUCCGAGGCACAGACUGCCGCCUGGGCUCAGCAUUUACCUCUCCCUUCCUCCUUCCUAACGCAACUUCAGCGGAGGGCUGAGGGCUCUACUGCGCAUUACCUGGAAAACUUAUUUCACUCCACGGCCCUAAGAGGUGGGCCUUAUUAUUAGCCAUGCCAGGGUUAGGGUGAGGCACUCCUCCAGGGCAGAAUUUCAGGGGGUGCCAACCCGCGCCCUAAAUCAUUCAGCAAUCAACAUAAAUUAUAGUUCAACGCAAUGUAUCUUAUCUUGUGGGCCGCAAGCCACCCAGGUGCCCAGGCAAGAGCUGAAGGACAAGCUGUUCCAGUACAGCGAAGAAAAUAAUUAGAAUAAGAAAAGUUUUACUAGAGAUAGGAAACGGAUAGGAUUAUAUCUGACUAUUAUUAAUCAUUAGUUUGUAGCAUCACUCUUUGUUCUAUUACCAUAAUGAUCUCUGUUCUAUUAUGAUUACCUUGGGGGAAACCAGGCCACACAGAGUUAGGAGCUGAAGGGCCACAGUGAGAGGUGACCAGAAGACGAGAGUGUGAGCCCUCAUUCACGCCCAGAGAAGGGCCGCUGGAGGGCUCCUUGGCCUAGCGGUAAUGCCAGUGCCUGGGAAGCGCCUGGUUACUUAGCAGGCCUUGGUCUAGCGGUGGCCCCAGUGCUGGGAAGCACCGUUACUUAGCAGACCCGGAAAGGGAAUCUCCCUCUCUCCAGGGGAGACAGAGAACGCUCCGCUCCACCACCUCUUGUGGGAGGUCUGACAUUAGCCAGGCCGGCCCGCAGUCAUCCGGAGGCUCCAACGUCUGUCUCCCUGUGAUGCUGUGCUUCAGUGGUCACGCUCCUUGUUCACUUUCAUGUUCAGCCUGUACACCUGGCUCCUCCUUUUAAGUUCUUAGAAGACAGCAGUAGCAGAACUAGUAGGAGUACACAGUCUUCGAUCUUUCUGAUAAGUGCAUAGAAGAAACGCUGACGUUUGCUGUCCUCCCUCUCCACCUCGGCUACCACAAAGGGAAAGGCCCCCUGUCCAGUGGACACGUGACUCGCGUGACCUAUCGAUCAUUGGAGAUGACUGGCACUCCUUACCCUGCCCCCUUGCCUUGACUACAAUAAAUAGCAGCGCCUCCAGGCACUCGGGGCCACUACCUGUCUGUCUCCGCGCUUUGGUGGCAGUGGUCCCCCGGGCCCAGCUGUCUUUCUUCCUAUCUCUUUGUCUUCUGUCUUUAUCUCUUCGAUCUCUCGUCUCCGCACACACGCGAAGAGAAAACCCACAGACCCGGUAGGGGUGGACCCUACAUUAUCUCAGCUACAACAUAAUCAGGAUAUUCACGUGGACUACUGAGUCUUUCGGUGCCCCCUUGCUGUUUUAGUUUUGUCCUGCGGCCGAGUGUUUCCCUCGCUUCACGCCAACACAAUCUCCGCCGCCCUGUCUUGUCAUCCCCAUUCUACAGCCCAGCACGGUGUAGUAUGGCAGCCGCUAGCCACAGGUAUCUAGGGAGCCCUGGAAAUGUGGUCAGUUCUAAUGGAGCUGUGCUGUAAGUGUGAAAUACACGUGGGAUUUUGACGGCAGUGGGAGCAAAAUUCUCCCAAUUUUUUUUUUUUUUUUUUUUUUUCAGACGGAGGUUCCGCUCUUGUUACCCAGCCUGGAGUCCAAUGGCGCGAUCUAGGCUCUCUGCAACCUCCGCCUCCCGGGUUCAAGCGAUUCCCCUGCCUCAGCCUCCCGAGCAGCUGGGACUACAGGCAUGUGCCACCACGCCCGGCUAACUUUGUAUUUUUAGUACAGAUGGGGUUUCUCCACGUUGCUCAGGCUGGUCUCCAACUCCCGACCUCCGGUGAUCUGCCCAGCUGCCGCCUCCCAAAGUGUUGCUUGCGAUUACAGGCUUGAGCCACCGCUCACCCUGGCUUUUUUUUUUUUUUUUCCAGACAAACUCUCGCUCUGUCGCCCAGGCUGGAGUGCAGUGGCGCGAUCUCGGCUCACUGCAGCCUCUACCUCCCGGGUUCCAGCGAUUCUCCUGCCUCAGCCUCCUGGGUAGCUGGGAUUACAGGCGCAGGCCACCACGCCCGGCUAAUUUUUGUAUUUUUAGUACCUCCCUCCCCUCCCCCCCCGUUGCUCAGGCUGGUCUCCAACUCCCUUCUUGGGAGAGAUCUGCCCAGCUGCCGCCUCCCAAAGUGUUGCUUGCGAUUACAGGCUUGAGCACCGCUCACCCUGGCUUUUUUUUUUUUUUUUUCCAGACAAACUCUCGCUCUGUCGCCCAGGCUGGAGUGCAGUGGCGCAUUCUCGGCUCACUGCAGCCUCUACCUCCCGGGUUCCAGCGAUUCUCCUGCCUCAGCCUCCUGGGUAGCUGGGAUUACAGGCGCAGCGCACCACGCCCGGCUAAUUUUUGUAUUUUUAGGGGGUUUCGCCAUGUCGGCCAGGCUGGUCUCGAGCUCCUGACCUCAGGCGAUCCGCCGCCUCGGCCUCCCAAAGCGCUGGGAUUACAGGCGUACAGCCGCGCCGGGCUCUUUCAUUCUGUCUUUAUUUUCUGAGAUAGAGUCUCGCUCGGACGCUCAGGUUGGACUGCAACGGCGUGAUCUCGGCUCGCUGAAACUUCCGCCUCCCGGGUUCAAGCGAUUCUCCUGUCUCAGCCUCCCGAGUAGCUGGGAUUAUUGACGGGCAGCACCACGCCCGGCUACUUUUUGUGGUUUUUGUAUCUUCUGUCUUCUGCUCUUUAGUACCGCAUAGAGCCGCAGAAGACUAGCGAGUCGAACAAACGGCCCCUCUUGCAGCAGUUGUUGAUCACGGGGCUGCCCCCCGGUACUCAUCCUGUGUCUCUCGUCCAAAUCCCCGCUCCUCCUCAGCUAUCACCUCUGCCGAUGCUGGUGGUUUCCCUGGGUACCGGGAACCAAACUCUCAUUCCCCAGGGGCCUAAGCCCCCCGUGGCCAGGCCCUUCUCAAGUCAGGGUUCCUGCACAUUCACAGUUACGGGUGGCCCUGGGAGUAACACCUGGCACCCAAACAGGUCACCAGAGUCCACACAUAGUCCACCUGCCCUCCCUGCGUAAGAUCAGCUCUUCCUCCUCCCGACGAUAGAUCAGGGUCAAUGAUCCCUGCCAAGAUGGCGACUGCUCCAGCCUGCUGGUCCAAACCUGUCCAGCCACAGCUGUUGCUCGAAGGCUUGAAGUUCAAUGGGACCCUCUCCCCGCUUUCUACAAACUGGUUCCUUUAUUUUUAUGUUUAUUUAUUUGGGACGGGGUCUGGCUCUGUCACCCAGGCUGGAGUGCAGUGGUGCAAUCACUGCUCACUGCAGCAUCCACCUCCCAGCGUCCACCCAUCCUCCUGGCCUCAGCCUCCGGAACAGCUGGGGUACAGGUACGCCCCAGCCCGAACAGGUUUUCACUAGGUUGCCUGGGCUCUUUCUUUCUUUGUCUGUGUUUGUUUGUUGGUUGGUUGGUUGGUUGGUUGGUUUUUGUUUGUUUGUUUCGAGACGGGGCUCCGGCUCUGCCGCCGGGGGCUGCAGUGCAAUGGCGCGAUCUCACCUCACUGCGGCCUUCUGGGCUCAAGCGAUCCUCCCACUGUGCCCGGCCUGAAGACAGCCUUUAGAGAAAGAAGCAGGGGGAGUUCUUCCGAGGACAGACAAGAUUUCUGGAGUUUGGAAAGGGUGAGAGACUGGGUCAGCGAAAGGAACAUUCCGGUCUUUAUGUUGGGAUGCAACGUAUAGAUACAGGGAUGAGACCCAAAAGAGCCGGCAGAGGUUUGUCAUCGUGCUCGCAAGGCAACUGCCGGUGGCUGAUCCCGUAAAGGAUACACAUACCUAGAGCGGAGCCUAAAGAUGCAUCCAGCAUGACGGGUGGAGCCACGAUGCUUGGACUCGAGCUCUGCUCCUGUGCGUUCCGUGAUCAAUGGCUUAUACUACCUGCACCUCAGUUUUUCCCGGGCAAAAAAGGAAGCUUGCUGCCGGUGCGUUGGCACCUGCCUUAAAGUGCCAGCUACUCAGCGGGCUGAAGAGGAAGAAGUUCCUACUAGGAAGACACGUGGACACGUAUGUUUACUGCAGCACUAUUUACAAUAGCAAAGACUUGGAACCAACUCGAAUGCCCAUGAAUGAUAGGCUGGAUAAAGAAAGUGUGGCACGUAUACAGCAUGGAAUUACUACGCAGCCAUAAAAAAGGAUGAGUUCAUGACCUCUGCGGGAACGUGGAUGAAGCUGGAAGGCCUCAUUCUCAGCAAACUGACACAGGAAGCGAAAACCAAACACCGCAUGUUCUCGCUCCUAAGUGGGAGUUGAACAGCGAGAACACAUGGGACACAGGGAGGGGAACAUCACACGCCGGGCCCUGACGGGGCGUGGGGGGCAAGGGGAGAGAGAGCAUUAGGACAAAUAGCCAACGCAUGCGGGGCUUCAAACCUAGACGACUGGUGGAUAGGUGCAGCAAAGCACCGUGGCACACGUGUACCUAUGUUCCAAACCUGCACGUCCUGCACAUGUACCCCAGAACUUGGGAGGGGGUGGGGGAAACCAAAAGAGCGAGGGAGAGGCGGGGGGGGGGAAGAGAGAGAGAGAGGGAAAGAGAGAGAGAGACAGAGAGAGGAGAGAGAGAGAGAGAGAGAGAGAGAGAGAGAGACAGAGAGAGAGACAGAGAGACAGAGACAGACACAGAGAGACGGAGAGACAGAGAGAGAGAGAGAGAAAGAGAGAGAGAGAGAGAGAGAGAGAGAGAGAGACAGGAGAAAGAAGAACUCCGGGUGGGUCCCAUUCCUUUAAAAGGUCGCCACCCACUCGACUGCCAAGCUGAGAUCCUAAGGACCUCCCCAAAGGAGGAGGUCAUGGCCUUCCCAAAGCGCAGUAGCCACGGUGGAAACGAAAGCGUGCCGCAUAAGCCUACCGUCUACCGCCCACACAUCAGGAACCUCAAGGUACUUCAGGGAAGCAGUUAAGUCAAGCCGGCGCGUCACAGGCACUCGGCGUGCAAGCCGCCCCGCAGGUGCUACCGUCUCUUACCUCCCUCUACUUUUAGGAAACACGUUGUAUCCCCGGAGGGGGUGCACCGUUCCUGGAGGUACUGCAAUACCAGGUCGAUGCGUGGAGUGGACGGAGCAAGCUCCUAUUCCAUCUCCCUGCUCCAAAAAUCCAUUUAAUAUAUUGUCCUCGGAUAGAGGACGUAUCAGAUAUUAAACUGAUAAGAACAGAUACUACACUUGAUCUUAGCCAAAAGGCCGAGAAGCGAUGCGCUCGCCUUCGCGCCCGCCGUCACCGUCCCACUCUCAUCCACAUUCAAGUCGCGGUGAGAGCCCCAGCCUCGCUCCUUGCCCCAUUCCCUCUGUCUCGUCCACAGCGCUAUUGACGCCCUUACACUCUCGGGCUGAUUUCUUAUUCUCCGCCUUUGAAAAGGGAAAUCUUACACCCGUGCUUCUUCCGGCGUUCCCGGGCUUUCAUUUCGAAUUUGCAUGCCCCGCCCUUUCACAGAGGGCGUGGCCUCCGCCGUUGACUCCGCCCCCGGGGCCGCCUCUGCCUGGGGGAGCCGGGGCUCCGCUGGGGGCGACUUCCUUGUUCGAAUCGAGCCCCCGAAAAAACAGACCCGGAAGAGACCGGGCGCGAAUGCGACCGGGUUCUGUGGAAGAUAACUGUCGACAGAGAGCGGACCCCGUUUUCCUGAAGAAAGACCAAGCCCCAAUGCAGGAGCGCGGGCUGCGCUGGACCUUUACAUCGCCACCCGCUGUCGGAGAGACCGGCCCCGUACCCGAGGGGACGAGGGGACGAGGGGCCCAUGCCCAGUCAGGGAAGCCGAAGGCCUGGAGGGGCUUCCGGGAGCAGGGGCUGGAGUUCCUCUGCCAGGCAGGAGGCUGGCACCAGACACCCGGCAGAGGGAGGCGGCGAGGGCCCAGCAAGGAUUCUCCCCAGCCCCUGUGCCUGCGUCUCCUGCGGCUUCUGUGCGCGGACCGUGUCCUGUGCUGUGUAGGGAACGCUGCCUCUCUGCUCGGGACGUGGAUUCCUUUCCCCUCCUCCUCGCCCGGCUACUUCUGACGCAGGUCGUCAGGACUCCGCUUGGGUGUCACCCGUGCAGGAAGCCUCCCUUAGUCAAGGGCCCUCGGCACCCGCCCCAUAUGUGACUAGCAGCCCUCCUGUGUAUUUCAUCGCGCCCCCGUUGUUUAUAUCAGCCAUUCCACUCACCACCCUUCUGGGCAACCCUUUAUCUCCCGCUCUGAAAUCCCAUCGCUGAGGGCUGGGACCCCUCCUCAGUGCUUAUCCCUGUUUCCCCGCGCGAGUCUGGCGCCUGGCGUGUGGAAGGCGCUCAGUAAACGUUUGUGGAGCGAAGAAACGACGCAAAGGUGAUGAGCACGACGCAGUUAGGAGGCUAUUGGCCCGGCGCGGGGGAAAAGGGGGAAGGUCGGGCUCGGGGUGGCAGGACCCCAGAGGGCAGGGGUGGCUGCCGGGGUGCUCUUGGGGCAAGGUGGGCGUCAAGGCCCCCAGCAAGGUUGGGAUAAAGUUUCUCUCCGAGGCACAGACUGCCGCCUGCGGGCUCAGCAUUUACCUCUCCCUUCCUCCUUCCUAACGCAACUUCAGCGGAGGGCUGAGGGCUCUACUGCGCAUUACCUGGAAAACUUAUUUCACUCCACGGCCCUAAGAGGUGGGCCUUAUUAUUAGCCACGGCCAGGGUUAGGGUGAGGCCACUCCUCCAGGGCAGAAUUUCAGGGGGUGCCCACCCCCCCGCCCUAAAUCAUUCAGCAAUCAACAUAAAUUAUAGUUCAACGCAAUGUAUCUUAUCUUGUGGGCCGCAAGCCACCCAGGUGCCCAGGCAAGAGCCUGAAGGCACAAGCUGUUCCAGUACAGCGAAGAAAAUAAUUAGAAUAAGAAAAGUUUUACUAGAGAUAGGAAACGGAUAGGAUUAUAUCUGACUAUUAUUAAUCAUUAGUUUGUAGCAUCACUCUUUGUUCUAUUACCAUAAUGAUCUCUGUUCUAUUAUGAUUACCUUGGGGGAAACCAGGCCACACAGAGUUAGGAGCUGAAGGGCCACAGUGAGAGGUGACCAGAAGACGAGAGUGUGAGCCCUCAUUCACGCCCAGAGAAGGGCCGCUGGAGGGCUCCUUGGCCUAGCGGUAAUGCCAGUGCCUGGGAAGGGCCCUGGUUUACUUAGCAGGCCUUGGUCUAGCGGUGGCCCCAGUGCCUGGGAAGGCACCCGUUACUUAGCAGACCCGGGAAAGGAAAUCUCCCCUCUCUCCAGGGGAGACAGAAGAACGCUCGGCUCAACACUCUUGUGGGGAGGUCUGACAUUAGCCAGGCCGGCCCGCAGUCAUCCGGAGGCUCCAAUUUAAGGUUCAGUGUGAUGCUGUGCUUCAGUGGUCACGCUCCUUGUUCACUUUCAUGUUCAGCCUGUACACCUGGCUCCUCCUUUUAAGUUCUUAGAAGACAGCAGUAGCAGAACUAGUAGGAGUACCACAGUCUUCGAUCUUUCUGAUAAGUGCAUAGAAGAAACGCUGACGUUUGCUGUCCUCCCUCUCCACCUCGGCUACCACAAAGGGAAAGGCCCCCUGUCCAGUGGACACGUGACUCGCGUGACCUAUCGAUCAUUGGAGAUGACUGGCACUCCUUACCCUGCCCCCUUGCCUUGACUACAAUAAAUAGCAGCGCCUCCAGGCACUCGGGGCCACUACCUGUCUGUCUCCGCGCUUUGGUGGCAGUGGUCCCCCGGGCCCAGCUGUCUUUCUUCCUAUCUCUUUGUCUUCUGUCUUUAUCUCUUCGAUCUCUCGUCUCCGCACACACGCGAAGAGAAAACCCACAGACCCGGUAGGGGUGGACCCUACAUUAUCUCAGCUACAACAUAAUCAGGAUAUUCACGUGGACUACUGAGUCUUUCGGUGCCCCCUUGCUGUUUUAGUUUUGUCCUGCGGCCGAGUGUUUCCCUCGCUUCACGCCAACACAAUCUCCGCCGCCCUGUCUUGUCAUCCCCAUUCUACAGCCCAGCACGGUGUAGUAUGGCAGCCGCUAGCCACAGGUAUCUAGGGAGCCCUGGAAAUGUGGUCAGUUCUAAUGGAGCUGUGCUGUAAGUGUGAAAUACACGUGGGAUUUUGACGGCAGUGGGAGCAAAAUUCUCCCAAUUUUUUUUUUUUUUUUUUUUUUUUCAGACGGAGGUUCCGCUCUUGUUACCCAGCCUGGAGUCCAAUGGGCGCGAUCUAGGCUCUCUGCAACCUCCGCCUCCCGGGUUCAAGCGAUUCCCCUGCCUCAGCCUCCCGAGCAGCUGGGACUACAGGCAUGUGCCACCACGCCCGGCUAACUUUGUAUUUUUUAGUACAGAUGGGGUUUCUCCACGUUGCUCAGGCUGGUCUCCAACUCCCGACCUCCGGUGAUCUGCCCAGCUGCCGCCUCCCAAAGUGUUGCUUUCGAUUACAGGCUUGAGCCACCGCUCACCCUGGCUUUUUUUUUUUUUUUUCUUAUGUUAGUAUACAGCGUAUAGAUACAGGUAUUAUACCCAAAAGAGCCGACAGAGGUUUGUCAUCGUGCGCGCAAGGCAACUACCGGUGGCUGAUCCCGUAAAGGAUACACAUACCUAGAGCGGAGCCUAAAAAUGCAUCCAGCAUGACGGGUGGAGCCACGAUGCUUGGACUCGAGCUCUGCUCCUGUGCGUUCCGUGAUCAAUGGCUUAUACUACCUGCACCUCAGUUUUUCCCGGGCAAAAAAGGAAGCUUGCUGCCGGUGCGUUGGCACCUGCCUUAAAGUGCCAGCUACUCAGCGGGCUGAAGAGGAAGUAGUUCCUCUUAGGAAGACACGUGGACAGGUUUGUCACUGCAGCAUUAUUUUCAAUAGCAAAGUCUGGGUCCCCACUGGAAUGCCCAUGAAUGAUAGGCUGGAUAAAGAAAGAGUGGCAGGUAUACAUCAUGGAAAAACUAAGCAGCCCAUAAAAAAAGGGAUGAGUUCAUGACCUCUGCGGGAACGUGGAUGAAGGCUGGAAGGCCUCAUUCUCAGCAAACUGACACAGGAAGGGAAAAACCAAACACCGCAUGUUCUCGCUCUUAGUGGGAGUUGAACAGCGAGAACACAUGGGACACAGGGAGGGGAACAUCACACGCCGGGCCCUGACGGGGCGUGGGGGGCAAGGGGAGAGAGAGCAUUAGGACAAAUAGCCAACGCAUGCGGGGCUUCAAACCUAGACGACUGGUGGAUAGGUGCAGCAAAGCACCGUGGCACACGUGUACCUAUGUUCCAAACCUGCACGUCCUGCACAUGUACCCCAGAACUUGGGAGGGGGUGGGGGAAACCAAAAGAGCGAGGGAGAGGCGGGGGGGGGGGAAGAGAGAGAGAGAGGGAAAGAGAGAGAGAGACAGAGAGAGGAGAGAGAGAGAGAGAGAGAGAGAGAGAGAGAGACAGAGAGAGAGACAGAGAGACAGAGACAGACACAGAGAGACGGAGAGACAGAGAGAGAGAGAGAGAAAGAGAGAGAGAGAGAGAGAGAGAGAGAGAGAGACAGGAGAAAGAAGAACUCCGGGUGGGUCCCAUUCCUUUAAAAGGUCGCCACCCACUCGACUGCCAAGCUGAGAUCCUAAGGACCUCCCCAAAGGAGGAGGUCAUGGCCUUCCCAAAGCGCAGUAGCCACGGUGGAAACGAAAGCGUGCCGCAUAAGCCUACCGUCUACCGCCCGCACAUCAGGAACCUCAAGGUACUUCAGGGAAGCAGUUAAGUCAAGCCGGCGCGUCACAGGCACUCGGCGUGCAAGCCGCCCCGCAGGUGCUACCGUCUCUUACCUCCCUCUACUUUUAGGAAACACGUUGUAUCCCCGGAGGGGGUGCACCGUUCCUGGAGGUACUGCAAUACCAGGUCGAUGCGUGGAGUGGACGGAGCAAGCUCCUAUUCCAUCUCCCUGCUCCAAAAAUCCAUUUAAUAUAUUGUCCUCGGAUAGAGGACGUAUCAGAUAUUAAACUGAUAAGAACAGAUACUACACUUGAUCUUAGCCAAAAGGCCGAGAAGCGAUGCGCUCGCCUUCGCGCCCGCCGUCACCGUCCCACUCUCAUCCACAUUCAAGUCGCGGUGAGAGCCCCAGCCUCGCUCCUUGCCCCAUUCCCUCUGUCUCGUCCACAGCGCUAUUGACGCCCUUACACUCUCGGGCUGAUUUCUUAUUCUCCGCCUUUUGAAAAGGGAAAUCUUACACCCGUGCUUCUUCCGGCGUUCCCGGGGCUUUCAUUUUCGAAUUUGCAUGCCCCCGCCCUUUCACAGAGGGCGGUGGGCCUCCGCCGUUGACUCCGCCCCCAAAGAGCCCGGCAGAGGGUUUUGUCAUCGUGCUCGCAAGUGCAACUGCCGGUGGCUGAUCCCCGUAAAGGAUACACAUGCCUUGAGCGGAGCCUAAAGAUGCAUCCAGCAUGACGGGGUGGAGCCCACGAUGCUUGGGACUCGAGCUUUGGCUCCUGUGCGUUCCGUGAUCAAUGGCUUAUACUACCUGCACCUCAGUUUUUCCCGGGCAAAAAAAGGAAGCUUGCUGCCGGUGCGUUGGCACCUGCCUUAAAGUGCCAGCUACUCAGCGGGCUGAAGAGGAAGAAGUUCCUACUAGGAAGACACGUGGACACGUAUGUUUACUGCAGCACUAUUUACAAUAGCAAAGACUUGGAACCAACUCGAAUGCCCAUGAAUGAUAGGCUGGAUAAAGAAAGUGUGGCACGUAUACAGCAUGGAAUUACUACGCAGCCAUAAAAAAGGAUGAGUUCAUGACCUCUGCGGGAACGUGGAUGAAGCUGGAAGGCCUCAUUCUCAGCAAACUGACACAGGAAGCGAAAACCAAACACCGCAUGUUCUCGCUCCUAAGUGGGAGUUGAACAGCGAGAACACAUGGGACACAGGGAGGGGAACAUCACACGCCGGGCCCUGACGGGGCGUGGGGGGCAAGGGGAGAGAGAGCAUUAGGACAAAUAGCCAACGCAUGCGGGGCUUCAAACCUAGACGACUGGUGGAUAGGUGCAGCAAAGCACCGUGGCACACGUGUACCUAUGUUCCAAACCUGCACGUCCUGCACAUGUACCCCAGAACUUGGGAGGGGGUGGGGGAAACCAAAAGAGCGAGGGAGAGGCGGGGGGGGGGAAAGAGAGGGAGAGAGGGAAAGAGAGAGAGAGACAGGAGAGAGGAGAGAGAGAGAGAGAGAGAGAGACAGAGAGACAGAGACAGACACAGAGAGACGGAGAGACAGAGAGAGAGAGAGAGAGAGAGAGAGACAGGAGAAAGAAGAACUCCGGGUGGGUCCCAUUCCUUUAAAAGGUCGCCACCCACUCGACUGCCAAGCUGAGAUCCUAAGGACCUCCCCAAAGGAGGAGGUCGUGGCCUUCCCAAAGCGCAGUAGCCACGGUGGAAACGAAAGCGUGCCGCAUAAGCCUACCGUCUACCGCCCGCACAUCAGGAACCUCAAGGUACUUCAGGGAAGCAGUUAAGUCAAGCCGGCGCGUCACAGGCACUCGGCGUGCAAGCCGCCCCGCAGGUGCUACCGUCUCUUACCUCCCUCUACUUUUAGGAAACACGUUGUAUCCCCGGAGGGGGUGCACCGUUCCUGGAGGUACUGCAAUACCAGGUCGAUGCGUGGAGUGGACGGAGCAAGCUCCUAUUCCAUCUCCCUGCUCCAAAAAUCCAUUUAAUAUAUUGUCCUCGGAUAGAGGACGUAUCAGAUAUUAAACUGAUAAGAACAGAUACUACACUUGAUCUUAGCCAAAAGGCCGAGAAAGCGAUGCGCUCGCCUUCGCGCCCGCCGUCACCGUCCCACUCUCAUCCACAUUCAAGUCGCGGUGAGAGCCCCAGCCUCGCUCCUUGCCCCAUUCCCUCUGUCUCGUCCACAGCGCUAUUGACGCCCUUACACUCUCGGGCUGAUUUCUUAUUCUCCGCCUUGAAAAGGGAAAUCUACACCCGUGCUUCUUCCGGCGUUCCCGGGCUUUCAUUUCGAAUUUGCAUGCCCCGCCCUUUCACAGAGGGCGUGGCCUCCGCCGUUGACUCCGCCCCCGGGGCCGCCUCUGCCUGGGGGAGCCGGGGCUCCGCUGGGGGCGACUUCCUUGUUCGUAUCGAGCCAGCGAAAAGACAGAACCGGAAGAGACCGGGGGCGAAGGCGACAGGGGUCUGUGGAAGAGACCUGUCGGCGGAGAGCGGUCCACGUUUUCCUGGAGAAAGACGAGGCCCCAGGGCAGGAGCGCGGGCUGCGCUGGGCCUUUACUUCGCCGCCCGCGGGCGGGGAGACCGGCCCCGUACCCGAGGGGACGAGGGGACGAGGGGCCCAUGCCCAGUCAGGGAAGCCGAAGGCCUGGAGGGGCUUCCGGGAGCAGGGGCUGGAGUUCCUCUGCCAGGCAGGAGGCUGGCACCAGACACCCGGCAGAGGGAGGCGGCGAGGGCCCAGCAAGGAUUCUCCCCAGCCCCUGUGCCUGCGUCUCCUGCGGCUUCUGUGCGCGGACCGUGUCCUGUGCUGUGUAGGGAACGCUGCCUCUCUGCUCGGGACGUGGAUUCCUUUCCCCUCCUCCUCGCCCGGCUACUUCUGACGCAGGUCGUCAGGACUCCGCUUGGGUGUCACCCGUGCAGGAAGCCUCCCUUAGUCAAGGGCCCUCGGCACCCGCCCCAUAUGUGACUAGCAGCCCUCCUGUGUAUUUCAUCGCGCCCCCGUUGUUUAUAUCAGCCAUUCCACUCACCACCCUUCUGGGCAACCCUUUAUCUCCCGCUCUGAAAUCCCAUCGCUGAGGGCUGGGACCCCUCCUCAGUGCUUAUCCCUGUUUCCCCGCGCGAGUCUGGCGCCUGGCGUGUGGAAGGCGCUCAGUAAACGUUUGUGGAGCGAAGAAACGACGCAAAGGUGAUGAGCACGACGCAGUUAGGAGGCUAUUGGCCCGGCGCGGGGGAAAAGGGGGAAGGUCGGGCUCGGGGUGGCAGGACCCCAGAGGGCAGGGGUGGCUGCCGGGGUGCUCUUGGGGCAAGGUGGGCGUCAAGGCCCCCAGCAAGGUUGGGAUAAAGUUUCUCUCCGAGGCACAGACUGCCGCCUGCGGGCUCAGCAUUUACCUCUCCCUUCCUCCUUCCUAACGCAACUUCAGCGGAGGGCUGAGGGCUCUACUGCGCAUUACCUGGAAAACUUAUUUCACUCCACGGCCCUAAGAGGUGGGCCUUAUUAUUAGCCAUGGCCAGGGUUAGGGUGAGGCCACUCCUCCAGGGCAGAAUUUCAGGGGGUGCCCACCCCCCCGCCCUAAAUCAUUCAGCAAUCAACAUAAAUUAUAGUUCAACGCAAUGUAUCUUAUCUUGUGGGCCGCAAGCCACCCAGGUGCCCAGGCAAGAGCCUGAAGGCACAAGCUGUUCCAGUACAGCGAAGAAAAUAAUUAGAAUAAGAAAAGUUUUACUAGAGAUAGGAAACGGAUAGGAUUAUAUCUGACUAUUAUUAAUCAUUAGUUUGUAGCAUCACUCUUUGUUCUAUUACCAUAAUGAUCUCUGUUCUAUUAUGAUUACCUUGGGGGAAACCAGGCCACACAGAGUUAGGAGCUGAAGGGCCACAGUGAGAGGUGACCAGAAGACGAGAGUGUGAGCCCUCAUUCACGCCCAGAGAAGGGCCGCUGGAGGGCUCCUUGGCCUAGCGGUAAUGCCAGUGCCUGGGAAGGCCCUGGUUACUUAGCAGGCCUUGGUCUAGCGGUGGCCCCAGUGCCUGGGAAGGCACCCGUUACUUAGCAGACCCGGAAAGGGAAUCUCCCUCUCUCCAGGAGAGACAGAGUGUGAGCCACUGUGCCCGGCUGGGAGCAAGACUGGAGCAAGACUCCAUCUCAAAAAAAUAAAAUAAAAUAAAUAAGUGAAUUAAUUAAUUAAAGGCCAGGCAUGGUGGUUCACACUUGUCAACAUUUUGGGAGACUUAGGUGGGAGGAUUGCUUGAGUCCAGGAGUUCCAGACCAGCCAGGGCAACAUAGUGAGACCCUGUCUGUAUUACAAUAAUAAAAUCAAAUAAAGUUUUUAAUUUUUUUUUGAGACAAGAGUCUCACUCUAUCACUCAGGUCAGAGUGCAGUGGCACUAUCUUGGCUCACUGCAACCUCCACCUCACUGAUUCAAGUGAUUCUCAUGCCUCAGUCUCCCCAGGUAGCUGGAAUUCCAGGCAAGCGCCACCAUGCCUAGCUACUUUUUGUACUUUUAGUAGAGACCAGGUUUCGCCAUGUUGGCCAGGCUGGUCUUGAACUCCUGACCUCCUCUGAUCCACCCACCUUGGCCUCCCAAAGUGCUGGAUUAACUUUAACCACCAUGCCCGGCCAAAAUAACAUUGUAAAAACUAAAUUAAAUUAUAUAAUGACGUUUGCUGUCCUCCCUCUCCACCUCGGCUACCACAAAGGGAAAGGCCCCCUGUCCAGUGGACACGUGACUCGCGUGACCUAUCGAUCAUUGGAGAUGACUGGCACUCCUUACCCUGCCCCCUUGCCUUGACUACAAUAAAUAGCAGCGCCUCCAGGCACUCGGGGCCACUACCUGUCUGUCUCCGCGCUUUGGUGGCAGUGGUCCCCCGGGCCCAGCUGUCUUUCUUCCUAUCUCUUUGUCUUCUGUCUUUAUCUCUUCGAUCUCUCGUCUCCGCACACACGCGAAGAGAAAACCCACAGACCCGGUAGGGGUGGACCCUACAUUAUCUCAGCUACAACAUAAUCAGGAUAUUCACGUGGACUACUGAGUCUUUCGGUGCCCCCUUGCUGUUUUAGUUUUGUCCUGCGGCCGAGUGUUUCCCUCGCUUCACGCCAACACAAUCUCCGCCGCCCUGUCUUGUCAUCCCCAUUCUACAGCCCAGCACGGUGUAGUAUGGCAGCCGCUAGCCACAGGUAUCUAGGGAGCCCUGGAAAUGUGGUCAGUUCUAAUGGAGCUGCGCUGUUAAGUGUGAAAUACACAUGGGAUUUUGACGGCAGUGGGAGCAAAAUUCUCCCAAUUUUUUUUUUUUUUUUUUUUUUUUUCAGACGGAGGUUCCGCUCUUGUUACCCAGCCUGGAGUCCAAUGGCGCGAUCUAGGCUCUCUGCAACCUCCGCCUCCCGGGUUCAAGCGAUUCCCCUGCCUCAGCCUCCCGAGCAGCUGGGACUACAGGCAUGUGCCACCACGCCCGGCUAACUUUGUAUUUUUAGUACAGAUGGGGUUUCUCCACGUUGCUCAGGCUGGUCUCCAACUCCCGACCUCCGGUGAUCUGCCCAGCUGCCGCCUCCCAAAGUGUUGCUUGCGAUUACAGGCUUGAGCCACCGCUCACCCUGGCUUUUUUUUUUUUUUUUUUCCAAACAAACUCUCGCUCUGUCGCCCAGGCUGGGAGUGCAGUGGCGCGAUCUCGGCUCACUGCAGCCUCUACCUCCCGGGUUCCAGCGAUUCUCCUGCCUCAGCCUCCUGGGUAGCUGGGAUUACAGGCGCAGGCCACCACGCCCGGCUAAUUUUUGUAUUUUUAGGGGGUUUCGCCAUGUCGGCCAGGCUGGUCUCGAGCUCCUGACCUCAGGCGAUCCGCCCGCCUCGGCCUCCCAAAGCGCUGGGAUUACAGGCGUAAGCCACCGCGCCGGGCUCUUUCAUUCUGUCUUUAUUUUCUGAGAUCGAGUCUCGCUCGGCCGCUCAGGUUGGACUGCAACGGCGUGAUCUCGGCUCGCUGAAAAGGCCUCAUUCUCAGCAAACUGACACAGGAAGCGAAAACCAAACACCGCAUGUUCUCGCUCCUAAGUGGGAGUUGAACAGCGAGAACACAUGGGACACAGGGAGGGGAACAUCACACGCCGGGCCCUGACGGGGCGUGGGGGGCAAGGGGAGAGAGAGCAUUAGGACAAAUAGCCAACGCAUGCGGGGCUUCAAACCUAGACGACUGGUGGAUAGGUGCAGCAAAGCACCGUGGCACACGUGUACCUAUGUUCCAAACCUGCACGUCCUGCACAUGUACCCCAGAACUUGGGAGGGGGUGGGGGAAACCAAAAGAGCGAGGGAGAGGCGGGGGGGGGGGAAAGAGAGGGAGAGAGGGAAAGAGAGAGAGAGACAGGAGAGAGGAGAGAGAGAGAGAGAGAGAGAGAGAGAGAGAGAGACAGAGAGAGAGACAGAGAGACAGAGACAGACACAGAGAGACGGAGAGACAGAGAGAGAGAGAGAGAGAGAGAGAGACAGGAGAAAGAAGAACUCCGGGUGGGUCCCAUUCCUUUAAAAGGUCGCCACCCACUCGACUGCCAAGCUGAGAUCCUAAGGACCUCCCCAAAGGAGGAGGUCGUGGCCUUCCCAAAGCGCAGUAGCCACGGUGGAAACGAAAGCGUGCCGCAUAAGCCUACCGUCUACCGCCCGCACAUCAGGAACCUCAAGGUACUUCAGGGAAGCAGUUAAGUCAAGCCGGCGCGUCACAGGCACUCGGCGUGCAAGCCGCCCCGCAGGUGCUACCGUCUCUUACCUCCCUCUACUUUUAGGAAACACGUUGUAUCCCCGGAGGGGGUGCACCGUUCCUGGAGGUACUGCAAUACCAGGUCGAUGCGUGGAGUGGACGGAGCAAGCUCCUAUUCCAUCUCCCUGCUCCAAAAAUCCAUUUAAUAUAUUGUCCUCGGAUAGAGGACGUAUCAGAUAUUAAACUGAUAAGAACAGAUACUACACUUGAUCUUAGCCAAAAGGCCGAGAAGCGAUGCGCUCGCCUUCGCGCCCGCCGUCACCGUCCCACUCUCAUCCACAUUCAAGUCGCGGUGAGAGCCCCAGCCUCGCUCCUUGCCCCAUUCCCUCUGUCUCGUCCACAGCGCUAUUGACGCCCUUACACUCUCGGGCUGAUUUCUUAUUCUCCGCCUUUGAAAAGGGAAAUCUUACACCCGUGCUUCUUCCGGCGUUCCCGGGCUUUCAUUUCGAAUUUGCAUGCCCCGCCCUUUCACAGAGGGCGUGGCCUCCGCCGUUGACUCCGCCCCCGGGGCCGCCUCUGCCUGGGGGAGCCGGGGCUCCGCUGGGGGCGACUUCCUUGUUCGUAUCGAGCCAGCGAAAAGACAGAACCGGAAGAGACCGGGGGCGAAGGCGACAGGGGUCUGUGGAAGAGACCUGUCGGCGGAGAGCGGUCCACGUUUUCCUGGAGAAAGACGAGGCCCCAGGGCAGGAGCGCGGGCUGCGCUGGGCCUUUACUUCGCCGCCCGCGGGCGGGGAGACCGGCCCCGUACCCGAGGGGACGAGGGGACGAGGGGCCCAUGCCCAGUCAGGGAAGCCGAAGGCCUGGAGGGGCUUCCGGGAGCAGGGGCUGGAGUUCCUCUGCCAGGCAGGAGGCUGGCACCAGACACCCGGCAGAGGGAGGCGGCGAGGGCCCAGCAAGGAUUCUCCCCAGCCCCUGUGCCUGCGUCUCCUGCGGCUUCUGUGCGCGGACCGUGUCCUGUGCUGUGUAGGGAACGCUGCCUCUCUGCUCGGGACGUGGAUUCCUUUCCCCUCCUCCUCGCCCGGCUACUUCUGACGCAGGUCGUCAGGACUCCGCUUGGGUGUCACCCGUGCAGGAAGCCUCCCUUAGUCAAGGGCCCUCGGCACCCGCCCCAUAUGUGACUAGCAGCCCUCCUGUGUAUUUCAUCGCGCCCCCGUUGUUUAUAUCAGCCAUUCCACUCACCACCCUUCUGGGCAACCCUUUAUCUCCCGCUCUGAAAUCCCAUCGCUGAGGGCUGGGACCCCUCCUCAGUGCUUAUCCCUGUUUCCCCGCGCGAGUCUGGCGCCUGGCGUGUGGAAGGCGCUCAGUAAACGUUUGUGGAGCGAAGAAACGACGCAAAGGUGAUGAGCACGACGCAGUUAGGAGGCUAUUGGCCCGGCGCGGGGGAAAAGGGGGAAGGUCGGGCUCGGGGUGGCAGGACCCCAGAGGGCAGGGGUGGCUGCCGGGGUGCUCUUGGGGCAAGGUGGGCGUCAAGGCCCCCAGCAAGGUUGGGAUAAAGUUUCUCUCCGAGGCACAGACUGCCGCCUGCGGGCUCAGCAUUUACCUCUCCCUUCCUCCUUCCUAACGCAACUUCAGCGGAGGGCUGAGGGCUCUACUGCGCAUUACCUGGAAAACUUAUUUCACUCCACGGCCCUAAGAGGUGGGCCUUAUUAUUAGCCACGGCCAGGGUUAGGGUGAGGCCACUCCUCCAGGGCAGAAUUUCAGGGGGUGCCCAACCCCCCGCCCUAAAUCAUUCAGCAAUCAACAUAAAUUAUAGUUCAACGCAAUGUAUCUUAUCUUGUGGGCCGCAAGCCACCCAGGUGCCCAGGCAAGAGCCUGAAGGCACAAGCUGUUCCAGUACAGCGAAGAAAAUAAUUAGAAUAAGAAAAGUUUUACUAGAGAUAGGAAACGGAUAGGAUUAUAUCUGACUAUUAUUAAUCAUUAGUUUGUAGCAUCACUCUUUGUUCUAUUACCAUAAUGAUCUCUGUUCUAUUAUGAUUACCUUGGGGGAAACCAGGCCACACAGAGUUAGGAGCUGAAGGGCCACAGUGAGAGGUGACCAGAAGACGAGAGUGUGAGCCCUCAUUCACGCCCAGAGAAGGGCCGCUGGAGGGCUCCUUGGCCUAGCGGUAAUGCCAGUGCCUGGGAAGGCCCUGGUUACUUAGCAGGCCUUGGUCUAGCGGUGGCCCCAGUGCCUGGGAAGGCACCCGUUACUUAGCAGACCCGGAAAGGGAAUCUCCCUCUCUCCAGGGGAGACAGAGAACGCUCCGCUCCACCACCUCUUGUGGGAGGUCUGACAUUAGCCAGGCCGGCCCGCAGUCAUCCGGAGGCUCCAACGUCUGUCUCCCUGUGAUGCUGUGCUUCAGUGGUCACGCUCCUUGUUCACUUUCAUGUUCAGCCUGUACACCUGGCUCCUCCUUUUAAGUUCUUAGAAGACAGCAGUAGCAGAACUAGUAGGAGUACCACAGUCUUUCGAUCUUUCUGAUAAGUGCAUAGAAGAAACGCUGACGUUUGCUGUCCUCCCUCUCCACCUCGGCUACCACAAAGGGAAAGGCCCCCUGUCCAGUGGACACGUGACUCGCGUGACCUAUCGAUCAUUGGAGAUGACUGGCACUCCUUACCCUGCCCCCUUGCCUUGACUACAAUAAAUAGCAGCGCCUCCAGGCACUCGGGGCCACUACCUGUCUGUCUCCGCGCUUUGGUGGCAGUGGUCCCCCGGGCCCAGCUGUCUUUCUUCCUAUCUCUUUGUCUUCUGUCUUUAUCUCUUCGAUCUCUCGUCUCCGCACACACGCGAAGAGAAAACCCACAGACCCGGUAGGGGUGGACCCUACAUUAUCUCAGCUACAACAUAAUCAGGAUAUUCACGUGGACUACUGAGUCUUUCGGUGCCCCCUUGCUGUUUUAGUUUUGUCCUGCGGCCGAGUGUUUCCCUCGCUUCACGCCAACACAAUCUCCGCCGCCCUGUCUUGUCAUCCCCAUUCUACAGCCCAGCACGGUGUAGUAUGGCAGCCGCUAGCCACAGGUAUCUAGGGAGCCCUGGAAAUGUGGUCAGUUCUAAUGGAGCUGUGCUGUAAGUGUGAAAUACACGUGGGAUUUUGACGGCAGUGGGAGCAAAAUUCUCCCAAUUUUUUUUUUUUUUUUUUUUUUUUCAGACGGAGGUUCCGCUCUUGUUACCCAGCCUGGAGUCCAAUGGCGCGAUCUAGGCUCUCUGCAACCUCCGCCUCCCGGGUUCAAGCGAUUCCCCUGCCUCAGCCUCCCGAGCAGCUGGGACUACAGGCAUGUGCCACCACGCCCGGCUAACUUUGUAUUUUUAGUACAGAUGGGGUUUCUCCACGUUGCUCAGGCUGGUCUCCAACUCCCGACCUCCGGUGAUCUGCCCAGCUGCCGCCUCCCAAAGUGUUGCUUGCGAUUACAGGCUUGAGCCACCGCUCACCCUGGCUUUUUUUUUUUUUUUUUCCAGACAAACUCUCGCUCUGUCGCCCAGGCUGGAGUGCAGUGGCGCGAUCUCGGCUCACUGCAGCCUCUACCUCCCGGGUUCCAGCGAUUCUCCUGCCUCAGCCUCCUGGGUAGCUGGGAUUACAGGCGCAGGCCACCACGCCCGGCUAAUUUUUGUAUUUUUAGGGGGUUUCGCCAUGUCGGCCAGGCUGGUCUCGAGCUCCUGACCUCAGGCGAUCCGCCCGCCUCGGCCUCCCAAAGCGCUGGGAUUACAGGCGUAAGCCACCGCGCCGGGCUCUUUCAUUCUGUCUUUAUUUUCUGAGAUAGAGUCUCGCUCGGACGCUCAGGUUGGACUGCAACGGCGUGAUCUCGGCUCGCUGAAACUUCCGCCUCCCGGGUUCAAGCGAUUCUCCUGUCUCAGCCUCCCGAGUAGCUGGGAUUAUUGACGGGCAGCACCACGCCCGGCUACUUUUUGUGGUUUUUGUAUCUUCUGUCUUCUGCUCUUUAGUACCGCAUAGAGCCGCAGAAGACUAGCGAGUCGAACAAACGGCCCCUCUUGCAGCAGUUGUUGAUCACGGGGCUGCCCCCCGGUACUCAUCCUGUGUCUCUCGUCCAAAUCCCCGCUCCUCCUCAGCUAUCACCUCUGCCGAUGCUGGUGGUUUCCCUGGGUACCGGGAACCAAACUCUCAUUCCCCAGGGGCCUAAGCCCCCCGUGGCCAGGCCCUUCUCAAGUCAGGGUUCCUGCACAUUCACAGUUACGGGUGGCCCUGGGAGUAACACCUGGCACCCAAACAGGUCACCAGAGUCCACACAUAGUCCACCUGCCCUCCCUGCGUAAGAUCAGCUCUUCCUCCUCCCGACGAUAGAUCAGGGUCAAUGAUCCCUGCCAAGAUGGCGACUGCUCCAGCCUGCUGGUCCAACCUGUCCAGCCACAGCUGUUGCUCGAAGGCUUGAAGUUCAAUGGGACCCUCUCCCGCUUUCUACAAACUGGUUCCUUUAUUUUUAUGUUUAUUUAUUUGGGACGGGGUCUGGCUCUGUCACCCAGGCUGGAGUGCAGUGGUGCAAUCACUGCUCACUGCAGCAUCCACCUCCCAGCGUCCACCCAUCCUCCUGGCCUCAGCCUCCGGAACAGCUGGGGUACAGGUAUGCCCCAGCCCGAACAGGUUUUCACUAGGUUGCCUGGGCUCUUUCUUUCUUUGUCUGUGUUUGUUUGUUGGUUGGUUGGUUGGUUGGUUGGUUUUUGUUUGUUUGUUUCGAGACGGGGCUCCGGCUCUGCCGCCGGGGGCUGCAGUGCAAUGGCGCGAUCUCACCUCACUGCGGCCUUCUGGGCUCAAGCGAUCCUCCCACUGUGCCCGGCCUGAAGACAGCCUUUAGAGAAAGAAGCAGGGGGAGUUCUUCCGAGGACAGACAAGAUUUCUGGAGUUUGGAAAGGGUGAGAGACUGGGUCAGCGAAAGGAACAUUCCGGUCUUUAUGUUGGGAUGCAACGUAUAGAUACAGGGAUGAGACCCAAAAGAGCCGGCAGAGGUUUGUCAUCGUGCUCGCAAGGCAACUGCCGGUGGCUGAUCCCGUAAAGGAUACACAUACCUAGAGCGGAGCCUAAAGAUGCAUCCAGCAUGACGGGUGGAGCCACGAUGCUUGGACUCGAGCUCUGCUCCUGUGCGUUCCGUGAUCAAUGGCUUAUACUACCUGCACCUCAGUUUUUCCCGGGCAAAAAAGGAAGCUUGCUGCCGGUGCGUUGGCACCUGCCUUAAAGUGCCAGCUACUCAGCGGGCUGAAGAGGAAGAAGUUCCUACUAGGAAGACACGUGGACACGUAUGUUUACUGCAGCACUAUUUACAAUAGCAAAGACUUGGAACCAACUCGAAUGCCCAUGAAUGAUAGGCUGGAUAAAGAAAGUGUGGCACGUAUACAGCAUGGAAUUACUACGCAGCCAUAAAAAAGGAUGAGUUCAUGACCUCUGCGGGAACGUGGAUGAAGCUGGAAGGCCUCAUUCUCAGCAAACUGACACAGGAAGCGAAAACCAAACACCGCAUGUUCUCGCUCCUAAGUGGGAGUUGAACAGCGAGAACACAUGGGACACAGGGAGGGGAACAUCACACGCCGGGCCCUGACGGGGCGUGGGGGGCAAGGGGAGAGAGAGCAUUAGGACAAAUAGCCAACGCAUGCGGGGCUUCAAACCUAGACGACUGGUGGAUAGGUGCAGCAAAGCACCGUGGCACACGUGUACCUAUGUUCCAAACCUGCACGUCCUGCACAUGUACCCCAGAACUUGGGAGGGGGUGGGGGAAACCAAAAGAGCGAGGGAGAGGCGGGGGGGGGGAAGAGAGAGAGAGAGGGAAAGAGAGAGAGAGACAGAGAGAGGAGAGAGAGAGAGAGAGAGAGAGAGAGAGACAGAGAGAGAGACAGAGAGACAGAGACAGACACAGAGAGACGGAGAGACAGAGAGAGAGAGAGAGAAAGAGAGAGAGAGAGAGAGAGAGACAGGAGAAAGAAGAACUCCGGGUGGGUCCCAUUCCUUUAAAAGGUCGCCACCCACUCGACUGCCAAGCUGAGAUCCUAAGGACCUCCCCAAAGGAGGAGGUCGUGGCCUUCCCAAAGCGCAGUAGCCACGGUGGAAACGAAAGCGUGCCGCAUAAGCCUACCGUCUACCGCCCGCACAUCAGGAACCUCAAGGUACUUCAGGGAAGCAGUUAAGUCAAGCCGGCGCGUCACAGGCACUCGGCGUGCAAGCCGCCCCGCAGGUGCUACCGUCUCUUACCUCCCUCUACUUUUAGGAAACACGUUGUAUCCCCGGAGGGGGUGCACCGUUCCUGGAGGUACUGCAAUACCAGGUCGAUGCGUGGAGUGGACGGAGCAAGCUCCUAUUCCAUCUCCCUGCUCCAAAAAUCCAUUUAAUAUAUUGUCCUCGGAUAGAGGACGUAUCAGAUAUUAAACUGAUAAGAACAGAUACUACACUUGAUCUUAGCCAAAAGGCCGAGAAGCGAUGCGCUCGCCUUCGCGCCCGCCGUCACCGUCCCACUCUCAUCCACAUUCAAGUCGCGGUGAGAGCCCCAGCCUCGCUCCUUGCCCCAUUCCCUCUGUCUCGUCCACAGCGCUAUUGACGCCCUUACACUCUCGGGCUGAUUUCUUAUUCUCCGCCUUUGAAAAGGGAAAUCUUACACCCGUGCUUCUUCCGGCGUUCCCGGGCUUUCAUUUCGAAUUUGCAUGCCCCGCCCUUUCACAGAGGGCGUGGCCUCCGCCGUUGACUCCGCCCCCGGGGCCGCCUCUGCCUGGGGGAGCCGGGGCUCCGCUGGGGGCGACUUCCUUGUUCGUAUCGAGCCAGCGAAAAGACAGAACCGGAAGAGACCGGGGGCGAAGGCGACAGGGGUCUGUGGAAGAGACCUGUCGGCGGAGAGCGGUCCACGUUUUCCUGGAGAAAGACGAGGCCCCAGGGCAGGAGCGCGGGCUGCGCUGGGCCUUUACUUCGCCGCCCGCGGGCGGGGAGACCGGCCCCGUACCCGAGGGGACGAGGGGACGAGGGGCCCAUGCCCAGUCAGGGAAGCCGAAGGCCUGGAGGGGCUUCCGGGAGCAGGGGCUGGAGUUCCUCUGCCAGGCAGGAGGCUGGCACCAGACACCCGGCAGAGGGAGGCGGCGAGGGCCCAGCAAGGAUUCUCCCCAGCCCCUGUGCCUGCGUCUCCUGCGGCUUCUGUGCGCGGACCGUGUCCUGUGCUGUGUAGGGAACGCUGCCUCUCUGCUCGGGACGUGGAUUCCUUUCCCCUCCUCCUCGCCCGGCUACUUCUGACGCAGGUCGUCAGGACUCCGCUUGGGUGUCACCCGUGCAGGAAGCCUCCCUUAGUCAAGGGCCCUCGGCACCUGCCCCAUAUGUGACUAGCAGCCCUCCUGUGUAUUUCAUCGCGCCCCCGUUGUUUAUAUCAGCCAUUCCACUCACCACCCUUCUGGGCAACCCUUUAUCUCCCGCUCUGAAAUCCCAUCGCUGAGGGCUGGGACCCCUCCUCAGUGCUUAUCCCUGUUUCCCCGCGCGAGUCUGGCGCCUGGCGUGUGGAAGGCGCUCAGUAAACGUUUGUGGAGCGAAGAAACGACGCAAAGGUGAUGAGCACGACGCAGUUAGGAGGCUAUUGGCCCGGCGCGGGGGAAAAGGGGGAAGGUCGGGCUCGGGGUGGCAGGACCCCAGAGGGCAGGGGUGGCUGCCGGGGUGCUCUUGGGGCAAGGUGGGCGUCAAGGCCCCCAGCAAGGUUGGGAUAAAGUUUCUCUCCGAGGCACAGACUGCCGCCUGCGGGCUCAGCAUUUACCUCUCCCUUCCUCCUUCCUAACGCAACUUCAGCGGAGGGCUGAGGGCUCUACUGCGCAUUACCUGGAAAACUUAUUUCACUCCACGGCCCUAAGAGGUGGGCCUUAUUAUUAGCCACGGCCAGGGUUAGGGUGAGGCCACUCCUCCAGGGCAGAAUUUCAGGGGGUGCCCACCCCCCCGCCCUAAAUCAUUCAGCAAUCAACAUAAAUUAUAGUUCAACGCAAUGUAUCUUAUCUUGUGGGCCGCAAGCCACCCAGGUGCCCAGGCAAGAGCCUGAAGGCACAAGCUGUUCCAGUACAGCGAAGAAAAUAAUUAGAAUAAGAAAAGUUUUACUAGAGAUAGGAAACGGAUAGGAUUAUAUCUGACUAUUAUUAAUCAUUAGUUUGUAGCAUCACUCUUUGUUCUAUUACCAUAAUGAUCUCUGUUCUAUUAUGAUUACCUUGGGGGAAACCAGGCCACACAGAGUUAGGAGCUGAAGGGCCACAGUGAGAGGUGACCAGAAGACGAGAGUGUGAGCCCUCAUUCACGCCCAGAGAAGGGCCGCUGGAGGGCUCCUUGGCCUAGCGGUAAUGCCAGUGCCUGGGAAGGCCCUGGUUACUUAGCAGGCCUUGGUCUAGCGGUGGCCCCAGUGCCUGGGAAGGCACCCGUUACUUAGCAGACCCGGAAAGGGAAUCUCCCUCUCUCCAGGGGAGACAGAGAACGCUCCGCUCCACCACCUCUUGUGGGAGGUCUGACAUUAGCCAGGCCGGCCCGCAGUCAUCCGGAGGCUCCAACGUCUGUCUCCCUGUGAUGCUGUGCUUCAGUGGUCACGCUCCUUGUUCACUUUCAUGUUCAGCCUGUACACCUGGCUCCUCCUUUUAAGUUCUUAGAAGACAGCAGUAGCAGAACUAGUAGGAGUACCACAGUCUUCGAUCUUUCUGAUAAGUGCAUAGAAGAAACGCUGACGUUUGCUGUCCUCCCUCUCCACCUCGGCUACCACAAAGGGAAAGGCCCCCUGUCCAGUGGACACGUGACUCGCGUGACCUAUCGAUCAUUGGAGAUGACUGGCACUCCUUACCCUGCCCCCUUGCCUUGACUACAAUAAAUAGCAGCGCCUCCAGGCACUCGGGGCCACUACCUGUCUGUCUCCGCGCUUUGGUGGCAGUGGUCCCCCGGGCCCAGCUGUCUUUCUUCCUAUCUCUUUGUCUUCUGUCUUUAUCUCUUCGAUCUCUCGUCUCCGCACACACGCGAAGAGAAAACCCACAGACCCGGUAGGGGUGGACCCUACAUUAUCUCAGCUACAACAUAAUCAGGAUAUUCACGUGGACUACUGAGUCUUUCGGUGCCCCCUUGCUGUUUUAGUUUUGUCCUGCGGCCGAGUGUUUCCCUCGCUUCACGCCAACACAAUCUCCGCCGCCCUGUCUUGUCAUCCCCAUUCUACAGCCCAGCACGGUGUAGUAUGGCAGCCGCUAGCCACAGGUAUCUAGGGAGCCCUGGAAAUGUGGUCAGUUCUAAUGGAGCUGCGCUGUUAAGUGUGAAAUACACAUGGGAUUUUGACGGCAGUGGGAGCAAAAUUCUCCCAAUUUUUUUUUUUUUUUUUUUUUUUUUUCAGACGGAGGUUCCGCUCUUGUUACCCAGCCUGGAGUCCAAUGGCGCGAUCUAGGCUCUCUGCAACCUCCGCCUCCCGGGUUCAAGCGAUUCCCCUGCCUCAGCCUCCCGAGCAGCUGGGACUACAGGCAUGUGCCACCACGCCCGGCUAACUUUGUAUUUUUAGUACAGAUGGGGUUUCUCCACGUUGCUCAGGCUGGUCUCCAACUCCCGACCUCCGGUGAUCUGCCCAGCUGCCGCCUCCCAAAGUGUUGCUUGCGAUUACAGGCUUGAGCCACCGCUCACCCUGGCUUUUUUUUUUUUUUUUCCAGACAAACUCUCGCUCUGUCGCCCAGGCUGGAGUGCAGUGGCGCGAUCUCGGCUCACUGCAGCCUCUACCUCCCGGGUUCCAGCGAUUCUCCUGCCUCAGCCUCCUGGGUAGCUGGGAUUACAGGCGCAGGCCACCACGCCCGGCUAAUUUUUGUAUUUUUAGGGGGUUUCGCCAUGUCGGCCAGGCUGGUCUCGAGCUCCUGACCUCAGGCGAUCCGCCCGCCUCGGCCUCCCAAAGCGCUGGGAUUACAGGCGUAAGCCACCGCGCCGGGCUCUUUCAUUCUGUCUUUAUUUUCUGAGAUAGAGUCUCGCUCGGACGCUCAGGUUGGACUGCAACGGCGUGAUCUCGGCUCGCUGAAACUUCCGCCCUCCCGGGUUCAAGCGAUUCUCCUGUCUCAGCCUCCCGAGUAGCUGGGAUUAUUGACGGGCAGCACCACGCCCCGGCUACUUUUUGUGGUUUUUGUAUCUUCUGUCUUCUGCUCUUUAGUACCGCAUAGAGCCGCAGAAGACUAGCGAGUCGAACAAACGGCCCCUCUUGCAGCAGUUGUUGAUCACGGGGCUGCCCCCCGGUACUCAUCCUGUGUCUCUCGUCCAAAUCCCCGCUCCUCCUCAGCUAUCACCUCUGCCGAUGCUGGUGGUUUCCCUGGGUACCGGGAACCAAACUCUCAUUCCCCAGGGGCCUAAGCCCCCCGUGGCCAGGCCCUUCUCAAGUCAGGGUUCCUGCACAUUCACAGUUACGGGUGGCCCUGGGAGUAACACCUGGCACCCAAACAGGUCACCAGAGUCCACACAUAGUCCACCUGCCCUCCCUGCGUAAGAUCAGCUCUUCCUCCUCCCGACGAUAGAUCAGGGUCAAUGAUCCCUGCCAAGAUGGCGACUGCUCCAGCCUGCUGGUCCAACCUGUCCAGCCACAGCUGUUGCUCGAAGGCUUGAAGUUCAAUGGGACCCUCUCCCGCUUUCUACAAACUGGUUCCUUUAUUUUUAUGUUUAUUUAUUUGGGACGGGGUCUGGCUCUGUCACCCAGGCUGGAGUGCAGUGGUGCAAUCACUGCUCACUGCAGCAUCCACCUCCCAGCGUCCACCCAUCCUCCUGGCCUCAGCCUCCGGAACAGCUGGGGUACAGGUACGCCCCAGCCCGAACAGGUUUUCACUAGGUUGCCUGGGCUCUUUCUUUCUUUGUCUGUGUUUGUUUGUUGGUUGGUUGGUUGGUUGGUUGGUUUUUGUUUGUUUGUUUCGAGACGGGGCUCCGGCUCUGCCGCCGGGGGCUGCAGUGCAAUGGCGCGAUCUCACCUCACUGCGGCCUUCUGGGCUCAAGCGAUCCUCCCACUGUGCCCGGCCUGAAGACAGCCUUUAGAGAAAGAAGCAGGGGGAGUUCUUCCGAGGACAGACAAGAUUUCUGGAGUUUGGAAAGGGUGAGAGACUGGGUCAGCGAAAGGAACAUUCCGGUCUUUAUGUUGGGAUGCAACGUAUAGAUACAGGGAUGAGACCCAAAAGAGCCGGCAGAGGUUUGUCAUCGUGCUCGCAAGGCAACUGCCGGUGGCUGAUCCCGUAAAGGAUACACAUACCUAGAGCGGAGCCUAAAGAUGCAUCCAGCAUGACGGGUGGAGCCACGAUGCUUGGACUCGAGCUCUGCUCCUGUGCGUUCCGUGAUCAAUGGCUUAUACUACCUGCACCUCAGUUUUUCCCGGGCAAAAAAGGAAGCUUGCUGCCGGUGCGUUGGCACCUGCCUUAAAGUGCCAGCUACUCAGCGGGCUGAAGAGGAAGAAGUUCCUACUAGGAAGACACGUGGACACGUAUGUUUACUGCAGCACUAUUUACAAUAGCAAAGACUUGGAACCAACUCGAAUGCCCAUGAAUGAUAGGCUGGAUAAAGAAAGUGUGGCACGUAUACAGCAUGGAAUUACUACGCAGCCAUAAAAAAGGAUGAGUUCAUGACCUCUGCGGGAACGUGGAUGAAGCUGGAAGGCCUCAUUCUCAGCAAACUGACACAGGAAGCGAAAACCAAACACCGCAUGUUCUCGCUCCUAAGUGGGAGUUGAACAGCGAGAACACAUGGGACACAGGGAGGGGAACAUCACACGCCGGGCCCUGACGGGGCGUGGGGGGCAAGGGGAGAGAGAGCAUUAGGACAAAUAGCCAACGCAUGCGGGGCUUCAAACCUAGACGACUGGUGGAUAGGUGCAGCAAAGCACCGUGGCACACGUGUACCUAUGUUCCAAACCUGCACGUCCUGCACAUGUACCCCAGAACUUGGGAGGGGGUGGGGGAAACCAAAAGAGCGAGGGAGAGGCGGGGGGGGGGAAGAGAGAGAGAGAGGGAAAGAGAGAGAGAGACAGAGAGAGGAGAGAGAGAGAGAGAGACAGAGAGAGAGACAGAGAGACAGAGACAGACACAGAGAGACGGAGAGACAGAGAGAGAGAGAGAGAGAAAGAGAGAGAGAGAGAGAGAGACAGGAGAAAGAAGAACUCCGGGUGGGUCCCAUUCCUUUAAAAGGUCGCCACCCACUCGACUGCCAAGCUGAGAUCCUAAGGACCUCCCCAAAGGAGGAGGUCGUGGCCUUCCCAAAGCGCAGUAGCCACGGUGGAAACGAAAGCGUGCCGCAUAAGCCUACCGUCUACCGCCCGCACAUCAGGAACCUCAAGGUACUUCAGGGAAGCAGUUAAGUCAAGCCGGCGCGUCACAGGCACUCGGCGUGCAAGCCGCCCCGCAGGUGCUACCGUCUCUUACCUCCCUCUACUUUUAGGAAACACGUUGUAUCCCCGGAGGGGGUGCACCGUUCCUGGAAGUACUGCAAUACCAGGUCGAUGCGUGGAGUGGACGGAGCAAGCUCCUAUUCCAUCUCCCUGCUCCAAAAAUCCAUUUAAUAUAUUGUCCUCGGAUAGAGGACGUAUCAGAUAUUAAACUGAUAAGAACAGAUACUACACUUGAUCUUAGCCAAAAGGCCGAGAAGCGAUGCGCUCGCCUUCGCGCCCGCCGUCACCGUCCCACUCUCAUCCACAUUCAAGUCGCGGUGAGAGCCCCAGCCUCGCUCCUUGCCCCAUUCCCUCUGUCUCGUCCACAGCGCUAUUGACGCCCUUACACUCUCGGGCUGAUUUCUUAUUCUCCGCCUUUGAAAAGGGAAAUCUUACACCCGUGCUUCUUCCGGCGUUCCCGGGCUUUCAUUUCGAAUUUGCAUGCCCCGCCCUUUCACAGAGGGCGUGGCCUCCGCCGUUGACUCCGCCCCCGGGGCCGCCUCUGCCUGGGGGAGCCGGGGCUCCGCUGGGGGCGACUUCCUUGUUCGUAUCGAGCCAGCGAAAAGACAGAACCGGAAGAGACCGGGGGCGAAGGCGACAGGGGUCUGUGGAAGAGACCUGUCGGCGGAGAGCGGUCCACGUUUUCCUGGAGAAAGACGAGGCCCAGGGCAGGAGCGCGGGCUGCGCUGGGCCUUUACUUCGCCGCCCGCGGGCGGGGAGACCGGCCCCGUACCCGAGGGGACGAGGGGACGAGGGGCCCAUGCCCAGUCAGGGAAGCCUAAGGUCUGGAGGGGCUUCCGGGAGCAGGGGCUGGAGUUCCUCUGCCAGGCAGGAUGCUGGCACCAGACACCCGGCAGAGGGAGGCGGCGAGGGCUCAUAAGGAAUUCUCCCCAGCCCCUGUGCUUGCGUCUCCUGCGGUUUCUGUGCUCGGACCGUGUCCUGUGCUGUGUAGGGAACGCUGCCUCUCUGCUCGGGACGUGGAUUCCUUUCCCCUCCUCCUCGCCCGGCUACUUCUGACGCAGGUCGUCAGGACUCCGCUUUGUGUCACCCGUGCAGGGAAGCCUCCCUUAGUCAAGGGCCCUCGCACCCGCCCCAUAUGUGACUAGCAGCCCUCCUGUGUAUUUCAUCGCGCCCCCGUUGUUUAUAUCAGCCAUUCCACUCACCACCUUCUGGGCAACCCUUUAUCUCCCGCUCUGAAAUCCCAUCGCUGAGGGCUGGACCCCUCCUCAGUGCUUAUCCCUGUUUCCCCGCGCGAGUCUGGCGCCUGGCGUGUGGAAGGCGCUCAGUAAACGUUUGUGGAGCGAAGAAACGACGCAAAGGUGAUGAGCACGACGCCAGUUAGGAGGCUAUUGGCCGGCGCGGGGAAAAGGGGAAGGUCGGGCUCGGGGUGGCAGGACCCCAGAGGCAGGGGUGGCUGCCGGGUGCUCUUGGGGCAAGGUGGGCGUCAAGGCCCCCAGCAAGGUUGGGAUAAAGUUUCUCUCCGAGGCACAGACUGCCGCUGCGGGCUCAGCAUUUACCUCUCCCUUCCUCCUUCCUAACGCAACUUCAGCGGAGGGCUGAGGGCUCUACUGCGCAUUACCUGGAAAACUUAUUUCACUCCACGGCCCUAAGAGGUGGGCCUUAUUAUUAGCCAUGGCCAGGGUUAGGGUGAGGCCACUCCUCCAGGGCAGAAUUUCAGGGGGUGCCCACCCCCCCGCCCUAAAUCAUUCAGCAAUCAACAUAAAUUAUAGUUCAACGCAAUGUAUCUUAUCUUGUGGGCCGCAAGCCACCCAGGUGCCCAGGCAAGAGCCUGAAGGCACAAGCUGUUCCAGUACAGCGAAGAAAAUAAUUAGAAUAAGAAAAGUUUUACUAGAGAUAGGAAACGGAUAGGAUUAUAUCUGACUAUUAUUAAUCAUUAGUUUGUAGCAUCACUCUUUGUUCUAUUACCAUAAUGAUCUCUGUUCUAUUAUGAUUACCUUGGGGGAAACCAGGCCACACAGAGUUAGGAGCUGAAGGGCCACAGUGAGAGGUGACCAGAAGACGAGAGUGUGAGCCCUCAUUCACGCCCAGAGAAGGGCCGCUGGAGGGCUCCUUGGCCUAGCGGUAAUGCCAGUGCCUGGGAAGGCCCUGGUUACUUAGCAGGCCUUGGUCUAGCGGUGGCCCCAGUGCCUGGGAAGGCACCCGUUACUUAGCAGACCCGGAAAGGGAAUCUCCCUCUCUCCAGGGGAGACAGAGAACGCUCCGCUCCACCACCUCUUGUGGGAGGUCUGACAUUAGCCAGGCCGGCCCGCAGUCAUCCGGAGGCUCCAACGUCUGUCUCCCUGUGAUGCUGUGCUUCAGUGGUCACGCUCCUUGUUCACUUUCAUGUUCAGCCUGUACACCUGGCUCCUCCUUUUAAGUUCUUAGAAGACAGCAGUAGCAGAACUAGUAGGAGUACCACAGUCUUCGAUCUUUCUGAUAAGUGCAUAGAAGAAACGCUGACGUUUGCUGUCCUCCCUCUCCACCUCGGCUACCACAAAGGGAAAGGCCCCCUGUCCAGUGGACACGUGACUCGCGUGACCUAUCGAUCAUUGGAGAUGACUGGCACUCCUUACCCUGCCCCCUUGCCUUGACUACAAUAAAUAGCAGCGCCUCCAGGCACUCGGGGCCACUACCUGUCUGUCUCCGCGCUUUGGUGGCAGUGGUCCCCCGGGCCCAGCUGCCUUUCUUCCUAUCUCUUUGUCUUCUGUCUUUAUCUCUUCGAUCUCUCGUCUCCGCACACACGCGAAGAGAAAACCCACAGACCCGGUAGGGGUGGACCCUACAUUAUCUCAGCUACAACAUAAUCAGGAUAUUCACGUGGACUACUGAGUCUUUCGGUGCCCCCUUGCUGUUUUAGUUUUGUCCUGCGGCCGAGUGUUUCCCUCGCUUCACGCCAACACAAUCUCCGCCGCCCUGUCUUGUCAUCCCCAUUCUACAGCCCAGCACGGUGUAGUAUGGCAGCCGCUAGCCACAGGUAUCUAGGGAGCCCUGGAAAUGUGGUCAGUUCUAAUGGAGCUGUGCUGUAAGUGUGAAAUACACGUGGGAUUUUGACGGCAGUGGGAGCAAAAUUCUCCCAAUUUUUUUUUUUUUUUUUUUUUUUCAGACGGAGGUUCCGCUCUUGUUACCCAGCCUGGAGUCCAAUGGCGCGAUCUAGGCUCUCUGCAACCUCCGCCUCCCGGGUUCAAGCGAUUCCCCUGCCUCAGCCUCCCGAGCAGCUGGGACUACAGGCAUGUGCCACCACGCCCGGCUAACUUUGUAUUUUUAGUACAGAUGGGGUUUCUCCACGUUGCUCAGGCUGGUCUCCAACUCCCGACCUCCGGUGAUCUGCCCAGCUGCCGCCUCCCAAAGUGUUGCUUGCGAUUACAGGCUUGAGCCACCGCUCACCCUGGCUUUUUUUUUUUUUUUUUCCAGACAAACUCUCGCUCUGUCGCCCAGGCUGGAGUGCAGUGGCGCGAUCUCGGCUCACUGCAGCCUCUACCUCCCGGGUUCCAGCGAUUCUCCUGCCUCAGCCUCCUGGGUAGCUGGGAUUACAGGCGCAGGCCACCACGCCCGGCUAAUUUUUGUAUUUUUAGGGGGUUUCGCCAUGUCGGCCAGGCUGGUCUCGAGCUCCUGACCUCAGGCGAUCCGCCCGCCUCGGCCUCCCAAAGCGCUGGGAUUACAGGCGUAAGCCACCGCGCCGGGCUCUUUCAUUCUGUCUUUAUUUUCUGAGAUAGAGUCUCGCUCGGACGCUCAGGUUGGACUGCAACGGCGUGAUCUCGGCUCGCUGAAACUUCCGCCUCCCGGGUUCAAGCGAUUCUCCUGUCUCAGCCUCCCGAGUAGCUGGGAUUAUUGACGGGCAGCACCACGCCCGGGCUACUUUUUGUGGUUUUUGUAUCUUCUGUCUUCUGCUCUUUAGUACCGCAUAGAGCCGCAGAAGACUAGCGAGUCGAACAAACGGCCCCUCUUGCAGCAGUUGUUGAUCACGGGGCUGCCCCCCGGGUACUCAUCCUGUGUCUCUCGUCCAAAUCCCCGCUCCUCCUCAGCUAUCACCUCUGCCGAUGCUGGUGGUUUCCCUGGGUACCGGAACCAAACUCUCAUUCCCCGAGCCUAAGCCCCCCGUGCCAGGCCCUUCUCAAGUCAGGGUUCCUGCACAUUCACAGUUACGGGUGGCCCUGGGAGUAACACCUGGCACCCAAACAGGUCACCAGAGUCCACACAUAGUCCACCUGCCCUCCCUGCGUAAGAUCAGCUCUUCCUCCUCCCGACGAUAGAUCAGGGUCAAUGAUCCCUGCCAAGAUGGCGACUGCUCCAGCCUGCUGGUCCAACCUGUCCAGCCACAGCUGUUGCUCGAAGGCUUGAAGUUCAAUGGGACCCUCUCCCGCUUUCUACAAACUGGUUCCUUUAUUUUUAUGUUUAUUUAUUUGGGACGGGGUCUGGCUCUGUCACCCAGGCUGGAGUGCAGUGGUGCAAUCACUGCUCACUGCAGCAUCCACCUCCCAGCGUCCACCCAUCCUCCUGCCUCAGCCUCCGGAACAGCUGGGGUACAGGUACGCCCCAGCCCGAACAGGUUUUCACUAGGUUGCCUGGGCUCUUUCUUUCUUUGUCUGUGUUUGUUUGUUGGUUGGUUGGUUGGUUGGUUGGUUUUUGUUUGUUUGUUUCGAGACGGGGCUCCGGCUCUGCCGCCGGGGGCUGCAGUGCAAUGGCGCGAUCUCACCUCACUGCGGCCUUCUGGGCUCAAGCGAUCCUCCCACUGUGCCCGGCCUGAAGACAGCCUUUAGAGAAAGAAGCAGGGGGAGUUCUUCCGAGGACAGACAAGAUUUCUGGAGUUUGGAAAGGGUGAGAGACUGGGUCAGCGAAAGGAACAUUCCGGUCUUUAUGUUGGGAUGCAACGUAUAGGUACAGGGAUGAGACCCAAAAGAGCCGGCAGAGGUUUGUCAUCGUGCUCGCAAGGCAACUGCCGGUGGCUGAUCCCGUAAAGGAUACACAUACCUAGAGCGGAGCCUAAAGAUGCAUCCAGCAUGACGGGUGGAGCCACGAUGCUUGGACUCGAGCUCUGCUCCUGUGCGUUCCGUGAUCAAUGGCUUAUACUACCUGCACCUCAGUUUUUCCCGGGCAAAAAAGGAAGCUUGCUGCCGGUGCGUUGGCACCUGCCUUAAAGUGCCAGCUACUCAGCGGGCUGAAGAGGAAGAAGUUCCUACUAGGAAGACACGUGGACACGUAUGUUUACUGCAGCACUAUUUACAAUAGCAAAGACUUGGAACCAACUCGAAUGCCCAUGAAUGAUAGGCUGGAUAAAGAAAGUGUGGCACGUAUACAGCAUGGAAUUACUACGCAGCCAUAAAAAAGGAUGAGUUCAUGACCUCUGCGGGAACGUGGAUGAAGCUGGAAGGCCUCAUUCUCAGCAAACUGACACAGGAAGCGAAAACCAAACACCGCAUGUUCUCGCUCCUAAGUGGGAGUUGAACAGCGAGAACACAUGGGACACAGGGAGGGGAACAUCACACGCCGGGCCCUGACGGGGCGUGGGGGGCAAGGGGAGAGAGAGCAUUAGGACAAAUAGCCAACGCAUGCGGGGCUUCAAACCUAGACGACUGGUGGAUAGGUGCAGCAAAGCACCGUGGCACACGUGUACCUAUGUUCCAAACCUGCACGUCCUGCACAUGUACCCCAGAACUUGGGAGGGGGUGGGGGAAACCAAAAGAGCGAGGGAGAGGCGGGGGGGGGAAAGAGAGAGAGAGAGGGAAAGAGAGAGAGAGACAGAGAGAGGAGAGAGAGAGAGAGAGACAGAGAGAGAGACAGAGAGACAGAGACAGACACAAGAGACGGAGAGACAGAGAGAGAGAGAGAGAGAAAGAGAGAGAGAGAGAGAGAGACAGGAGAAAGAAGAACUCCGGGUGGGUCCCAUUCCUUUAAAAGGUCGCCACCCACUCGACUGCCAAGCUGAGAUCCUAAGGACCUCCCCAAAGGAGGAGGUCGUGGCCUUCCCAAAGCGCAGUAGCCACGGUGGAAACGAAAGCGUGCCGCAUAAGCCUACCGUCUACCGCCCGCACAUCAGGAACCUCAAGGUACUUCAGGGAAGCAGUUAAGUCAAGCCGGCGCGUCACAGGCACUCGGCGUGCAAGCCGCCCCGCAGGUGCUACCGUCUCUUACCUCCCUCUACUUUUAGGAAACACGUUGUAUCCCCGGAGGGGGUGCACCGUUCCUGGAGGUACUGCAAUACCAGGUCGAUGCGUGGAGUGGACGGAGCAAGCUCCUAUUCCAUCUCCCUGCUCCAAAAAUCCAUUUAAUAUAUUGUCCUCGGAUAGAGGACGUAUCAGAUAUUAAACUGAUAAGAACAGAUACUACACUUGAUCUUAGCCAAAAGGCCGAGAAGCGAUGCGCUCGCCUUCGCGCCCGCCGUCACCGUCCCACUCUCAUCCACAUUCAAGUCGCGGUGAGAGCCCCAGCCUCGCUCCUUGCCCCAUUCCCUCUGUCUCGUCCACAGCGCUAUUGACGCCCUUACACUCUCGGGCUGAUUUCUUAUUCUCCGCCUUUGAAAAGGGAAAUCUUACACCCGUGCUUCUUCCGGCGUUCCCGGGCUUUCAUUUCGAAUUUGCAUGCCCCGCCCUUUCACAGAGGGCGUGGCUCCGCGUUGACUCCGCCCCCGGGCGCGCCUCUGCCUGGGGGAGCCGGGGCUCGCUGGGGGCGACUUCCUUGUUCGUAUCGAGCCAGCGAAAAGACAGAACCGGAAGAGACCGGGGGCGAAGGCGACAGGGGUCUGUGGAAGAGACCUGUCGGCGGAGAGCGGUCCACGUUUUCCUGGAGAAAGACGAGGCCCCAGGCGAGGAGCGCGGGCUGCUGGGGCCUUUACUUCGCCGCCCGCGGCAGACCCGGCCCCGUACCCGAGGGACGAGGGACGAGGGGCCCAUGCCCAGUCAGGGAAGCCGCACGUGGAGGGGCUUCCGGGAGCAGGGGCUGGAGUUCCUCUGCCAGGCAGGAGGCUGGCACCAGACACCCGGCAGAGGGAGGCGGCGAGGGCCAGCAAGGAUUCUCCCCAGCCCCUGUGCCUGCGUCUCCUGCGGCUUCUGUGCGCGGACCGUGUCCUGUGCUGUGUAGGGAACGCUGCCUCUCUGCUCGGGACGUGGAUUCCUUUCCCCUCCUCCUCGCCCGGCUACUUCUGACGCAGGUCGUCAGGACUCCGCUUGGGUGUCACCCGUGCAGGAAGCCUCCCUUAGUCAAGGGCCCUCGGCACCCGCCCCAUAUGUGACUAGCAGCCCUCCUGUGUAUUUCAUCGCGCCCCCGUUGUUUAUAUCAGCCAUUCCACUCACCACCCUUCUGGGCAACCCUUUAUCUCCCGCUCUGAAAUCCCAUCGCUGAGGGCUGGGACCCCUCCUCAGUGCUUAUCCCUGUUUCCCCGCGCGAGUCUGGCGCCUGGCGUGUGGAAGGCGCUCAGUAAACGUUUGUGGAGCGAAGAAACGACGCAAAGGUGAUGAGCACGACGCAGUUAGGAGGCUAUUGGCCCGGCGCGGGGGAAAAGGGGGAAGGUCGGGCUCGGGGUGGCAGGACCCCAGAGGGCAGGGGUGGCUGCCGGGGUGCUCUUGGGGCAAGGUGGGCGUCAAGGCCCCCAGCAAGGUUGGGAUAAAGUUCCUUUCCGAGGCACAGACUGCCGCCUGCGGGCUCAGCAUUUACCUUUCCCUUUCUCCUUCCUUACCUCCCUCUCCACCUCGGCUACCACAAAGGGAAAGGCCCCCUGUCCAGUGCACACGUGACUCGCGUGACCUAUCGAUCAUUGGAGAUGACUGGCACUCCUUACCCUGCCCCCUUGCCUUGACUACAAUAAAUAGCAGCGCCUCCAGGCACUCGGGGCCACUACCUGUCUGUCUCCGCGCUUUGGUGGCAGUGGUCCCCCGGGCCCAGCUGUCUUUCUUCCUAUCUCUUUGUCUUCUGUCUUUAUCUCUUCGAUCUCUCGUCUCCGCACACACGCGAAGAGAAAACCCACAGACCCGGUAGGGGUGGACCCUACAUUAUCUCAGCUACAACAUAAUCAGGAUAUUCACGUGGACUACUGAGUCUUUCGGUGCCCCCUUGCUGUUUUAGUUUUGUCCUGCGGCCGAGUGUUUCCCUCGCUUCACGCCAACACAAUCUCCGCCGCCCUGUCUUGUCAUCCCCAUUCUACAGCCCAGCACGGUGUAGUAUGGCAGCCGCUAGCCACAGGUAUCUAGGGAGCCCUGGAAAUGUGGUCAGUUCUAAUGGAGCUGUGCUGUAAGUGUGAAAUACACGUGGGAUUUUGACGGCAGUGGGAGCAAAAUUCUCCCAAUUUUUUUUUUUUUUUUUUUUUUUCAGACGGAGGUUCCGCUCUUGUUACCCAGCCUGGAGUCCAAUGGCGCGAUCUAGGCUCUCUGCAACCUCCGCCUCCCGGGUUCAAGCGAUUCCCCUGCCUCAGCCUCCCGAGCAGCUGGGACUACAGGCAUGUGCCACCACGCCCGGCUAACUUUGUAUUUUUAGUACAGAUGGGGUUUCUCCACGUUGCUCAGGCUGGUCUCCAACUCCCGACCUCCGGUGAUCUGCCCAGCUGCCGCCUCCCAAAGUGUUGCUUGCGAUUACAGGCUUGAGCCACCGCUCACCCUGGCUUUUUUUUUUUUUUUUCCAGACAAACUCUCGCUCUGUCGCCCAGGCUGGAGUGCAGUGGCGCGAUCUCGGCUCACUGCAGCCUCUACCUCCCGGGUUCCAGCGAUUCUCCUGCCUCAGCCUCCUGGGUAGCUGGGAUUACAGGCGCAGGCCACCACGCCCGGCUAAUUUUUGUAUUUUUAGGGGGUUUCGCCAUGUCGGCCAGGCUGGUCUCGAGCUCCUGACCUCAGGCGAUCCGCCCGCCUCGGCCUCCCAAAGCGCUGGGAUUACAGGCGUAAGCCACGCGCCGGGCUCUUUCAUUCUGUCUUUAUUUUCUGAGAUAGUCUUCGUCGGACGCUCAGCUCUGCGGGACGUGGAUGAAGCUGGAAGGCCUCAUUCCCAGCAGAACCACACAGGAAGCGAAAACCAAACACCGCAUGUUCUCGCUCCGAAGUGGGAGUUGAACAGCGAGAACACAUGGGACACGGGGAGGGGAACAUCACACGCCGGGCCCUGACGGGGGCGUGGGGGGCAAGGGGAGAGAGAGCAUUAGGACAAAUAGCCAACGCAUGCGGGGCUUCAAACCUAGACGACUGGUGGAUAGGUGCAGCAAAGCACCGUGGCACACGUGUACCUAUGUUCCAAACCUGCACGUCCUGCACAUGUACCCCAGAACUUGGGAGGGGGUGGGGGAAACCAAAAGAGCGAGGGAGAGGCGGGGGGGGGGGAAGAGAGAGAGAGAGGGAAAGAGAGAGAGAGACAGAGAGAGGAGAGAGAGAGAGAGAGAGAGAGAGAGAGAGAGACAGAGAGAGAGACAGAGAGACAGAGACAGACACAGAGAGACGGAGAGACAGAGAGAGAGAGAGAGAAAGAGAGAGAGAGAGAGAGAGAGAGAGAGAGAGACAGGAGAAAGAAGAACUCCGGGUGGGUCCCAUUCCUUUAAAAGGUCGCCACCCACUCGACUGCCAAGCUGAGAUCCUAAGGACCUCCCCAAAGGAGGAGGUCGUGGCCUUCCCAAAGCGCAGUAGCCACGGUGGAAACGAAAGCGUGCCGCAUAAGCCUACCGUCUACCGCCCGCACAUCAGGAACCUCAAGGUACUUCAGGGAAGCAGUUAAGUCAAGCCGGCGCGUCACAGGCACUCGGCGUGCAAGCCGCCCCGCAGGUGCUACCGUCUCUUACCUCCCUCUACUUUUAGGAAACACGUUGUAUCCCCGGAGGGGGUGCACCGUUCCUGGAGGUACUGCAAUACCAGGUCGAUGCGUGGAGUGGACGGAGCAAGCUCCUAUUCCAUCUCCCUGCUCCAAAAAUCCAUUUAAUAUAUUGUCCUCGGAUAGAGGACGUAUCAGAUAUUAAACUGAUAAGAACAGAUACUACACUUGAUCUUAGCCAAAAGGCCGAGAAGCGAUGCGCUCGCCUUCGCGCCCGCCGUCACCGUCCCACUCUCAUCCACAUUCAAGUCGCGGUGAGAGCCCCAGCCUCGCUCCUUGCCCCAUUCCCUCUGUCUCGUCCACAGCGCUAUUGACGCCCUUACACUCUCGGGCUGAUUUCUUAUUCUCCGCCUUUGAAAAGGGAAAUCUUACACCCGUGCUUCUUCCGGCGUUCCCGGGCUUUCAUUUCGAAUUUGCAUGCCCCGCCCUUUCACAGAGGGCGUGGCCUCCGCCGUUGACUCCGCCCCCGGGGCCGCCUCUGCCUGGGGGAGCCGGGGCUCCGCUGGGGGCGACUUCCUUGUUCGUAUCGAGCCAGCGAAAAGACAGAACCGGAAGAGACCGGGGGCGAAGGCGACAGGGGUCUGUGGAAGAGACCUGUCGGCGGAGAGCGGUCCACGUUUUCCUGGAGAAAGACGAGGCCCCAGGGCAGGAGCGCGGGCUGCGCUGGGCCUUUACUUCGCCGCCCGCGGGCGGGGAGACCGGCCCCGUACCCGAGGGGACGAGGGGACGAGGGGCCCAUGCCCAGUCAGGGAAGCCGAAGGCCUGGAGGGGCUUCCGGGAGCAGGGGCUGGAGUUCCUCUGCCAGGCAGGAGGCUGGCACCAGACACCCGGCAGAGGGAGGCGGCGAGGGCCCAGCAAGGAUUCUCCCCAGCCCCUGUGCCUGCGUCUCCUGCGGCUUCUGUGCGCGGACCGUGUCCUGUGCUGUGUAGGGAACGCUGCCUCUCUGCUCGGGACGUGGAUUCCUUUCCCCUCCUCCUCGCCCGGCUACUUCUGACGCAGGUCGUCAGGACUCCGCUUGGGUGUCACCCGUGCAGGAAGCCUCCCUUAGUCAAGGGCCCUCGGCACCCGCCCCAUAUGUGACUAGCAGCCCUCCUGUGUAUUUCAUCGCGCCCCCGUUGUUUAUAUCAGCCAUUCCACUCACCACCCUUCUGGGCAACCCUUUAUCUCCCGCUCUGAAAUCCCAUCGCUGAGGGCUGGGACCCCUCCUCAGUGCUUAUCCCUGUUUCCCCGCGCGAGUCUGGCGCCUGGCGUGUGGAAGGCGCUCAGUAAACGUUUGUGGAGCGAAGAAACGACGCAAAGGUGAUGAGCACGACGCAGUUAGGAGGCUAUUGGCCCGGCGCGGGGGAAAAGGGGGAAGGUCGGGCUCGGGGUGGCAGGACCCCAGAGGGCAGGGGUGGCUGCCGGGGUGCUCUUGGGGCAAGGUGGGCGUCAAGGCCCCCAGCAAGGUUGGGAUAAAGUUUCUCUCCGAGGCACAGACUGCCGCCUGCGGGCUCAGCAUUUACCUCUCCCUUCCUCUCCUACGCUACUUCAGCGGAGGGCUGAGGGCUCUACUGCGCAUUACCUGGGAAAACCUUUAUUUUAUUAUAUCUGACUAUUAUUAAUCAUUAGUUUGUAGCAUCACUCUUUGUUCUAUUACCAUAAUGAUCUCUGUUCUAUUAUGAUUACCUUGGGGGAAACCAGGCCACACAGAGUUAGGAGCUGAAGGGCCACAGUGAGAGGUGACCAGAAGACGAGAGUGUGAGCCCUCAUUCACGCCCAGAGAAGGGCCGCUGGAGGGCUCCUUGGCCUAGCGGUAAUGCCAGUGCCUGGGAAGGCCCUGGUUACUUAGCAGGCCUUGGUCUAGCGGUGGCCCCAGUGCCUGGGAAGGCACCCGUUACUUAGCAGACCCGGAAAGGGAAUCUCCCUCUCUCCAGGAGAGACAGAGUGUGAGCCACUGUGCCCGGCUGGGAGCAAGACUGGAGCAAGACUCCAUCUCAAAAAAAUAAAAUAAAAUAAAUAAGUGAAUUAAUUAAUUAAAGGCCAGGCAUGGUGGUUCACACUUGUCAACAUUUUGGGAGACUUAGGUGGGAGGAUUGCUUGAGUCCAGGAGUUCCAGACCAGCCAGGGCAACAUAGUGAGACCCUGUCUGUAUUACAAUAAUAAAAUCAAAUAAAGUUUUUAAUUUUUUUUUGAGACAAGAGUCUCACUCUAUCACUCAGGUCAGAGUGCAGUGGCACUAUCUUGGCUCACUGCAACCUCCACCUCACUGAUUCAAGUGAUUCUCAUGCCUCAGUCUCCCCAGGUAGCUGGAAUUCCAGGCAAGCGCCACCAUGCCUAGCUACUUUUUGUACUUUUAGUAGAGACCAGGUUUCGCCAUGUUGGCCAGGCUGGUCUUGAACUCCUGACCUCAACUGAUCCACCCACCUUGGCCUCCCAAAGUGCUGGAUUACAGGUGUGAGCCACCAUGCCCGGCCAAAAUAACAUUUUUAAAAACUAAAUUAAAUUUAUAUAACACUGACCGGGCAUCAUGGCUCAUGCCUGCAAUCCCAGCACUUUGGGAGGCUGAGUUGGGUGGAUCACCUGAGGUCGGGAGUUUGAGACCAGCCUCACCAACAUGGAGAAACCGUGUCUCUACUAAAAAUACAAAAUUAUCUGGGCGUGGUGGCGCAUGCCUGUAAUACCAGCUACUCGGGAGGCUGAGGCAGGAGAAUCACUUGAACCCGGGAGGCAGAGGUUGUGGUGAGCCAAGAUUGCACCAUUGCACUCCAGCCUGGGCAACAAGAGCAAAACUCCAUCUCAAAAAAAAAAAAAAAAAUUUGGUUCCUCAGUCACACUCCAAGGCUCAAUAUAGCAUACAGGCUGGGGGUUACCCUAUUGGACAGAACAUCUUUAAACCUCCCAGGCCUAGUACCCUUGCCUUCCCCUAGACUAUUACAAGAGGGAAAUUGAGUCAGCUGAUAGUGGUCCCCCCAACACAGACACAGUCUAUCUGAGAGAACGCCAAAUGACCUUGCUUUCCUCCUACCCCCAGCAAACAGCAUUCACCAAAUAGUAGGCAGCUUCCUAGGGAUCUCUCUCCAUUCUCCAUUCCCUUCCUGCUCCAGAGAGGACCCUGAAGAACCCAGCCUAUCCCAUGCACCUGUUCUUUCUGCUGCAGCUCCUGCUGCUGCUGGGCCAUCAGCCAUCUCCUUCGGUCCAAAGCCAUCUGCCGGCGCCGGGCCUCCCAGUGGUAGGCACUACCCAUGAUAGUGGGAUGGUAUGAGGCCCCAGGUGGGGGUGGGGACAGACAGAGGUGGUGGGAGCAGUGGGCUCUGUCUGUCCCCACCCCCACCUGGGGCCUCACCCCACCUCUUCCUAUAAUCCUGGAGACCCUCCCUAAUCUGUCUGGACCUCAGUUUCCUUGCCUGAAGAAUAAGUGAUAACUUGUUACCUUCUUUCACAUAGCUGGUAUAAGGAUCAAAUAGAAUAAUGGAUGGGAAAUAAAAGAUAAAGUAUAAAAUUGUUUAGCUACAGGUUGGUAUUAUUAUCCUACCUGACCCUUCCAAGGACUGUGUCCUCAGUAGGUGGAGUGAACAGGUGAGAGGAUUAUUCUCUGAAGCCCAGGAAGGCUUUUGGGGAUAGAGACUGUGCAUUUAAUUUUUUAAUUUUUAAAUUUUAUUUUUAUUGUAUUUUUUGUUUUUUGAGACGGAGUUUCACUCUUGUUGCCCAGGCUGGAGUGCAAUGGCAUGAUCUUGGCUCACCGCAACCUCCGCCACCCUGGUUCAAGCAAGUCCUGCAAGUGAUCCGCCCGCCUCGGCCUCCCAAAGUGCUGGGAUUACAGGCGCGAGCCACCACGCCUGGCCUGGGACUGUGCAUUUAAGAUCACCCAAAGUGGCUGGGCGAGGUGGUAAUCCCAGCACACUGGGAGGCCAAGGUGGGCAGAUCAUGAGGUCAGGAGAUCAAGACCAUCCUGGCUAACAUGGUGAAACCCCGUUUCUGCUAAAAAUACAAAAAAUUAGCCGAGUGUGGUGGCACAUGCCUGUAGUCCCAGCUACUCAGGAGGCUGAAGCAGAAGAAUUGCUUGAACCUGGGAGGCGGAGGUUGCAGUGAGCCGAGAUAGCGCCACUGCACUCCAGCCUAGGUGACAGAGCAAGACUCCAUCUCAGAAAAAAAAAAAAAAAAAAAUUAGCCGGGCAUGGUGGCGGCCGCCUGUAAUCCCAGCUACUUGGGAGGCUGAGGCAGGAGAAUCGCUUGAACCCAGGAGGUGGAGGUUGCUGUGAGCCAAGAUUGCACCACUGUACUCCAACCUGGGUGACAGAGCAAGACUCUGUCAAACAAACAAACAAACAAACAAAUAAAGCCUGUAGGCUGGGACAUUGGCUCAUGCGUGUAAUCCCAGCACUUUUGGAGGUGAAGGUGGGAAGAUUGUUGGAGCCCAGGAGUUCCAGACUAGCCUGGGCAACAUAGACACGACAUAUCAACUGGCAUGCCCACCCCACCAUUUCCCAACCCCCAUCUCUACAAAAAAUAAAGCAAGUUUGUUGUUAUUCAAGACCCAGAAUCUUCUGUUUUGGAAGAAGCAAAGUGUGGUUAGAAGCACAAGCAGGGCCGGGCAUGGUGGCUCACGCCUGUAAUUCCAGCACUUUGGGAGGCCAAGGCAGGUGGAUCACCUAAGGUCAAGAGAUCAAGACCAGCCAGGCCAACAUAGUGAAACCCCGUCUCUACUAAACCCCCCGUCUCUACUAAAAACCCCCCGUCUCUACUGAAAAACCCCGUCUCUACUGAAACCCCCCGUCUCUACUAAAAAUACAAAAAAAUUAGCUGGGCGUGCUGGCGGGCGCCUGUAAUCCCAGCUACUCAAGAGGCUGAGGC